rnacentral:lncRNA from 1 species
CAUAAUUGGAAUGAUGAGGAAUGCAUAAAAAUAUUAAGGAAUUGUAAGAAAGCAAUACCAAGAGAGAAUGGAAAAGUGAUAAUUGUCGAAAUAAUUUUGAAAGAAGAUGGAAGUGGAGUGUUUGAUGAUAUUGGAUUUCUGAUGGACCUCGUAAUGUUUGCACAUAACAGUGGUAAAGAGAGAACAGAGGCGGAAUGGAAGAAAAUCUUGGAAGGAGGAGGCUUUUCUCACUACAAAAUCAUUAACAUCCCUGCAUUGGUUUCCAUCAUAGAGGCGUAUCCUGAUGCUUAGUAGCUUUUUAGCAUAAUGAUAGUGGUGGGGAUUUAAUUUCCUAUUUUAUGAAUCUUCCUUUGUUUCAUUUAGGCGUCAAUAAAUGUAUGUGAUUGUGUUAUUCUCUCUUUUCUUAUUCUCUGUUGUAAUAGGUCAGUUUUAUUCUGGCCAAAAUAAAAUAAUAAUAAAUAAAACAAAAUAUUAAAGUCCAAUAAAAAAUAACAGUCCAUUUACAAUAUGCCCCAAAUAAAAAAAAACUCUAACCCAAAGUUACAAGCCUAAUAGCCUAAACAUCUUUUCAGAAACAGAAACCUUAACCUUAGCCUGCGCGCGGCCGCCUCCACCUCGCCGGCGGUCUCGUCGCCAGUGGUGUAACACCUCUAAUCUGUGUCCGUCACCGUAUUGGAAUUACGAGGCAUUUUCAGACUUAAUGCAUAUAUUUAUUUUAUUUAUUUAUUUAUUAUUUUUUAAAAAAAUCAAUUGAUAAACAUUAGCUACUGCUGUACAGCCCAAUUUUAUACCUGGGCCCAAUUAACCUUCAGCCCAUUGCAAACCUACCCAAAACCCAAUACAACACAACCCAAACAAAUUUAACCCUAAGCCCAAUGGCCCAACAAACUAAACAAUUUUCAGAAAAAAAAAAGAAACAACAGAAACCCUAUCCCCCCUAGAUGCGGCGCACCUAGGGCCUUCUGCCACCGUCCCAUCACCCCACUUGCUACCGCCUCUGACCAGCACCGCGCGGCCUCACCUGCUCCCAACUGCUUACCUGCAAACAAGUAAACAAAGCAACAACAAUAAGCAAAUAAUAGAAAAAUUGUAAAAGGCUAUAUAAAGCCAUUCAAAUUUUUUAAAGAGGGGAUUUUUUUUGUUUUGAAAUCGGUAUAAAAACUUAUUGAAACCAUUGUAACGUGCAUCCUUUUUUUGUUUUUUUCCUGGUUUUUGAGAAAUAAAAAGAGGAGAUUCAAACAAAAAGUAAAAAAAAAAGUCCCGAAAGCAAAGGUUUUUACUUUUGUUCUUUUUUCGAAACCUUUUAUCCAUUUUUUUAAUUGCUCUCUUUUAAUAUACAUAUAUAUACAAUAUAUAUAUAUAUAUAUAUAAAGGGGGAAAAAUGCACCUUUUCAAACUUUCUGGCCACCGCGGACGACGCGCCGUCACCGGUGACUGGCGGCCGGUGCGGCGAUGGUCGGCCGAUCCUCUGGCCGGAUCCUAGGCAGCAGUCAGAGAAGGAGAGGGUGUUUUUGAAAUUUUUUUUGAAAAGAAGUAGAAAAUGAAAUGUUUUGAAAAAAAGUUGGCUUAAAUAGGCUUCCCAAACGACGUCGUUUUGGGCAGCCUUCUCAGGCACCAAAACGGCGCCGUUUUAAGGCCGACCCGAUCUGCCCGACCCGCUCCAGGCCAAGAUCCGCGCUUUUUUUAGCGGAAGGGCUAAUUGCGCUAUCAGCCAUUUCGUUUUUAAAUAAUUUUGCAAUCAAGUUCUAUUCCUUUUUAAAUUUUCCCUGUAAUUUAUGUUGAUUUACCAUCUGGUCCAUCUUGAAACGCAGUACUUUGGAGGGCGGGAAUAUUUUCCAUUUUGGUCCCUAUAUUUUGACGCGUGUUACAUUUAGGCCCCGAUUUUUUUUAAAUUUGGAUCUUUUUUAUUUUUCUUUCAACUUAGUCCCUUUCGCGUUUUAUUUCUAAUUUGGGCUCUCAAUUCUAUUUUUAACUUCAUUUUAAUACAGUUUUCGUUUAUUAUCAUUUUUUUUAUAUUUAUAUCUAUAUAUAUACAUACAUUUUCAUAAUAUAUAUGUACAUUUUUUUAUAACAUAUUUAAUAUGUACAUACAUACGCAUAUUUUUAUAUAUUUUAUAAUCUAUAUAUAUAUAUACAUUUUUACGAAUAUAUAUACAUAUUUAUGUGUUUUUUUUUAUAAAUUCUAUAUACAUAUAUGUGUAUAUACAUACUUACAUAAACUUUUAUAUUUAAUAAUUUUAAAAUACAUAUAUACAUAUAUUUUUCAUAUUUUUAUAUAUUUAUGUACAUACACACGUUUUUAUAACGUACAUACUUAUAUUUCAUAUAUUUUUGUAUUUUAUAAUCUAUAUACAUAUAUAUGUAAAUACUUAUAUUUUUAUAUGUUAUAAUUCAUAUAUAUCUUUUAUUUAUUUUCUUCAUUUAUUUAUUUAUUUACACGUCCGUUAUUAUUAUUUAUUAUGCUUUAGAAUUUUUAUUUGUUUAUUACUUGUUAUUGUGCAUACGUGAUUGAUUUUAUAUAUAUAUUUGUCUUCUUAUUUAUUUAUCUUUUGUUGUUGCUUGUAUUAUUUUACUUACAUCAUCAUCAUUGUUAUUCCAUUACACCCAUUUUUAUUUAGAUUUCAAAAAAGAAAUUUUAAAAAUAUAAGUAAUACUCGGUAUUUGGGAUCUUCGAGAGAAUCGAGCCCUAACGUAUUGGGUUUCGAUUUUCUUCGUUGAACCUAAAUAAUCGAGAUUACUCUUUAAAAAAAUAACAAAAAGCUCAUUAUCGGGAAUUCAAUACGUUGUGUCCUAACGCAUUGGAUAUGACACGUUGUUUUCCCGAUAUGAGGAUUUUUUCUUAAAAAAAUAAUAAAGGUAGUAUUUUGCAUUUGGAAAUUCAAGAAGGUCGUACCCUAACUUACUGGGUUUCGAUUUUCACGGUGAAUCUAAAUACACGAGUCUUUUUUCAAACCUAAGCUUUAAACGACCUCGGAAGUUAAGAAAAGAUCAAGUCCUAACUUACUUGGCCUGAUCCAUUUUUUCUAAAAUCUGAGAUAACUAAAUAUCUUUUAAAUAAGUAAAUUUUGGCAUUCAUUCGUGUAUCGGGAAUUCGAGACAUUGUGUCUUAACUUACUGAAUAUGAUGCUUUUUUCGAUUAACGUGAAAUAUACUUCUUUUCCCAAAAAUUCUCAACAUUUUAAUACAAUGAUUGUAUUUUUAAUUCUUCAAAGUUUUCAAUUCUGGACAUCAAGACAUUAGCUAAUCAACUAGGUACCAAUUUUUGGGCGUUACGAGGGUGCUAAUCCUUCCUCGUACGUAACCAACUCUCAAACCCGUUUUCUGAAUUUUAUGGACCAAAAUCGUUGUUUUAAUAAAAUCAAAUCGUUUAUUAAAAACAACUACUUUUCAAGGUGAUCCGAUCACACCUUAUCAAAAAGGAUUGGUGGCGACACUCGUUUUCGUUUUCAUUUUUAAAAUCCAAGUCGACCCCGUUUCAUCAAAAAAUGGUGUCAACAGCUUGGCGACUCCACUGGGGAACCAAAAUAAGAGAGUCAAGCCAUUAGUUGAUUUUUUUUGUCUUUUUUCAAAAAUUGAAAACUUGGUUUAAAUGUACGAUCCUUUCAUUGUAUUUCAUCGGUCUUUAUUACAAUUUUCAUCAUUGUGGUUUAUAAUUGCUGUGUUGGUUUAAAUUUAGGUAUCUUUCUGCACAUUGCAUUGCAUAACCGUUGGUCACACCCUUUUAAGUGGGAGUGAGAAGCUACUCCUUCGUGAGAUUUAUCUUAACGCUUGAAUAAAGAAGAGGAUCAAAUGUCUCCACCUACGAGGGCAAAGCCGUAUAUAUAUCCGCUUUAUGUAAAGAGAUUUGUUUUCUAGUAAAGUUGUUCUAAUAGAAUUGAAACAAAAAUCAACGUCUCUUUUUGCAUUCAUUUCAUGCAUUUGCAUUACAUCGCAUCCUAUGCAUUAGAUUUUUACAAAAUGAUCGUAAUUAAUUAAAAUUAUGACAGUUACCCUGGAAACCAACAAAAAUCUACCAAUUAGAUAUCACUACGGUACCCGUCUCAAAACAAAAGAAAUGGACCAGAGAUUAGAAAGACUGGAACAAUUGCAAAAGGAGAUGCAAGAUCAGAUACAAGAAAAACUAGCUAAAAUGCAACAAGACAUGGAAAAAUCCCAAAGAGAUUUAUUGAGUCAUUUAAAGCAGUUAAUGGCUAAGAGGCAUGAUAAGGGAAAGAGCCCUGUGGUAAACUCCGGGGAUGAUCAUGAAGACCCUGCCUAUCCUCCAGGUUUUGCCCCAACUAAUAUCUAGGCGCAACCAGGGGUGUACCCACAGAGGGUACCUGUCACCAUUAGCUCCCAAUACCAAGUCGGUGCCACGGCAUCGAUGAACUUUCCAACAGGCUUGGGUUCUAAUCCUCGGGAUAAUCCUACCAAUCCCGUGGUUCCUGAUCUCGACAAUGUAGCAGAAAUGGAAAAAGGCAAUAGCGGACCUGCCAAAACAACUAAAAGACCGGUGUAAAUGGCUAGAUGAGAAGUUUAAAGCCAUGGAAAAUACCGAUUACCAUCGAGGAAUGGACGCUAAAGAUUUGAGCUUGGUACCUGAUUUGGUGCUCCCUCCCAAAUUUAGAAUGUCGGAGUUUGAGAAGUAUAACGGAACUAGUUGCCUUGAAGCUCAUGUCACUAUGUUCUAUCAAAGGAUGACGGGAUACAUCAAUAAUGACCUACUGUUGAUUCACUGCUUCCAAGAUAGUUUGAUCAGGUUAGCGGCAAGACAGUACAACCAAUUGAGCCGGGCCGACAUCCACUCAUGGAAGGACUUGGCACAGGCUUUUAUGAAGCAAUACAGCCAUGUAACAGACAUGACACCUGACAGAAUUACACUACAGAAUAUGGAAAAGAAGCCAGGUGAGAGCUUCAGACAAUAUGCCCAAAGAUGGAGAGAGGUAGCGACACAAGUUUAGCGACCUCUUUUGGAGAAAGAAACCACGAUACUUUUCAUCAACACUCUGAAAGCACCGUUCAUUAACCAUAUGUUAGGAAGUGCUACCAUGAGCUUCUCAGAUGUAAGGAUGUCUGGCGAGAUGAUUGAAAAUGCCAUAAGAAGUGGGAAGAUAGAUGUGGGGGAAAGUGCCAAAAGAUCAACCCUAAAGCACAAAGAAAAUGAAGUGAGCAACCUGAGCUUGUAUAAUAAAGGGUAUUCAAAAUCAGUCACUGUAGGCCAGCCAAGGACGGUAGCAGCUAGCUAUCAAGGCCCCUCAAAACAAGAAUCUAACUCGAGGCCAAACAGAGAAAUACUCUAGUUCACACCCAUAUCGGUGACGUAUAAGGAGUUAUAUCAGAAUCUGUUUGAUGCGCAUGUAGUAGCUUCUUUCUACUCAAAACCCCCACAACCUUCGUACCCCAAAUGGUACGACAGAAUGCACAAUGCGAUAAUCAUGUGGGAAUUACAGGACAUUCUAUAGAAAAUUGCAUUGCCUUUAAAGAAGUGGUUGAAAGGCUUAUCAGUAUGGGCAUUGUCAAAUUGGAUGAUUUAUCUAGUGCAGAAAAUCUGCUACCCAAUCAUGAUUGAAAGUGGAGUGAAUGCAAUGCAUGAAGAAGUUGGGAAAUGUUCACAUCAAUGAUAUUUGUGAAAAAGACAACUGAAAAUGGACCUCAUUAGAUAUUUGCCCUUAUAAACUUGGGAGUGUUCUAAAUAAUUAGACUACAGAAGAUAUCCCUGUAGUAUUUAGAGCUUACUUAGAGUAAUAUUCAGAACACACUUGUUGCUUUCAGCCUAAAGGCAACAAGAACUCUUUUGUGAAAUAGGCUCAUGUUUGAACGUCGUUAUUUUAAUGAAAUAUAUUUUUACGAUCAUUUUUGAGCCAAUAUUCUUUCAUUCUUUGUGAAUAAUUAUUUUUAUUCUUUCAUUCUUUCUUCCAAACCAUUCUUUCAUUCAUUCAUAAUCAUACUGUAUAGAUAAUUAUUCUUAAAUUUAUACAUUCUUUGUAUAUUCUUUCGUACCUACAAUACGUCCCCAGAUAUCAAUGACAUGAGUGACGCUACUACAGACUCAGAAUAUCCUUUUUUGCGAGACAUGUGUCUAGAGGGAUCUUAUGACUCUGAAGAUGACAUAGAUUGUAGCCUAUUUCCAGACUUAUUGAGGAUGGUAGAACAAGAUGGAAAACAGAUCCUACCCUACAAAGAAUCAAUAGAAUCCAUGAUGUGGGGCAUAAAGGUCAUUAGGUCGAUCUCACCACAAGAUUCUGGUGGUCAUCAAUUUAUCUUCGUAGGUAGAAACCGCUUUAUAUGCCAAUGUCACAAAGUCAACUGUCAGCAAAUUCUUGAAAAUUCAUAUGUCAAUAUGGAAUGCCAAAAGGAUCAUAUUCGACAAUGCAUUAAAUUUGAACAACAGAACAAUAUCAAAAGUUUCCAGUCUGUUCACAAUUAAUGCCAUAUCGCAUAAAAAAAGAUGGCAAAAAAACUCUGCCGGGGCAACGCCUUCCUUUUUAGUUUAUCGCGAUUUCACCCAUUGAGGUCAAGAUUUUCUUCUCUCUGAGUUUUUUGGAUCCAAUCCUAAUUAAAGAGGAAUGUUCAAAGUUAUCCAUUAUGGUCAAAUACGCCACAAGCAAAUGAUGAGAGCUCAAAAAAAAGAAGAAGGAAGAAGAAGUUCCCCCUAUUGGAUUUCACGAGAGGGGCUUGGUAUUGAAGAAGAUCUUCCCUAUACAAAAGGGCUUCAGAAGGAAGUGGGUGCCAAGCCAGGAAGGGCCUUAUGUGAAAGGCCUUAUUUGAAAAACUGUUGAUUAUGAUCGUAAGGGAUAACGAGGACUUGCCUAACCCUAUGAGUUCAGAGUCAAUAAAAAUAUAUUUAAAAAAAUAAAAAGAAGAAAAGGAAAAGAAAAAAAAAGGAGAGGCCAAGGUGAAAACCCGCAAAGGGCGCCUUUAGACCAAAGGAGAUUUGAGUUGAAAACCCAAAAAGGGCGGCUCAAAUUUUUGAACAAAAUGGGGCAUGAAGUGAUCAGAGCAGCUCAGAUUUUGAUCAAAUUGGGGCAUGUAGUGAUCUUGUUAUACUUGAAUCAACAGGAAAGGGUAGGCAACAUCUUGGGGCAUCGACAAAGUCCUGUAGAUCUCCUAAACACAUGUCAAACUUAGAAUGGUCUUCAGAAAGUUUGUAUAGAGAAGUUCAAGCUGCGAUAUCUGGGGCACCUAGUCUUUAUACUAUUGAAUUUAUCGUUCUUGGAAUACUUCAUUCUCUUUCAAGAUAUGUGUUCUCAAUCAAUUCUUUUGUUAUUCUUACUCUCUUUGAUAAUUUAUCCAUUUCGAGUCAUGCUCUCAAAUCAAUCAUAUUUUAUCCAUCGUUAUGAUCUUUUACAAGCAUGUUGCAUUGGAAUAAUGAUUAAUGGAUUAAUAAUACUUUCACAAUGGAAGUUUUGCAUAUUACUCUAGAAGUUUCUAAAUAAUAUAGGAACCUGAAACAGGACUAUUGUUUAGAAAACACCAGGUUUAAAGGGUAAAAUAUCUAAAAAGGAAGAGUCUAAGUUAAUACUAUCCUUUCAGAUUUUGUUGUCCAAACAUUGAUUGAAUAAAAUAACGAGAUGUCGUGUUGGUGACAAAGCUUCAAUGAACAAACAAGCAAUGAUCACCGAGUGAUAAGAAGAGGUUUUCUCGGAGAAGAAAAUUUUGCAAUUGUGCAUAAACAUUUGGUAUGACACCCUAGGAAUGAGACAAAAGACCAAAGAGCUUCACAUUCUGUAUCCUUGAAUUGCGAUAAGAGAGGAUUGAGAAAAGCCAUAUUUUUCUACCAUUGGGUUACAGUGGGAGAAUGAUGGUACAAAUUUUACACCCCAGUGGAUUGAACUUUGACGUUCACAAUGGGGGGCAAUCAGAUUAAGUGUUUCUUUGGAUACACCAUCCGAGUAGGAAGGCAUUGUAGUACAUCAUUGAUAAAACCUUAAUAAACUUUGAGUAAUGAUAACCUAAGCAUUAAAAAAGAUCAUUCUCAUGACAUUCUACAAAUAUCAUACAUACACAUCUAGUUAGGAGCAUUUUGUUCAUUCUAAUCAUGACAUCCUAAACACUAGGCAUAAAUAGGUCCAUAAAAUAGAAUAUACAGGUCAUGUUCCCCACAGAACAGAUCAAUUAAGACAACAGAUAUUGCCUUCUUGUACUGGCAAUGAAGCAGAUUGAAGACGCCAGCCUUACCUUCCUUACUGACAGCGGAGCAGACUUAAGAUAGCAUAUCAUGCCUUCCUGUACUGGCAGCGAAGCAGAUCAAAUACACCAGCCAUGCCUUCCUGUACUAACAGCAGAGCAGACUGAAGAUAGCAGAUCUUGCCUUCCUGUACUGGCAGCGAAGUAGAUCGAAGACACCAGCCUUGCCUUCCUGUACUGACAGCGGAGUAGACUGAAGAUAAUAGAUCUUGCCUUCUCGUACUGACGAUGAAGCAGAUCAAAGACACCAGCCUUGCCUUCCUGUACUGACAGUGGAGCGGACUGAAGAUAACAGAUCUUGCCUUCCUGUAUUGAUGGCGAAGCAAAUUUAAGACACCAUAGUUUACAGCAGAGUGGAUUGAGGCCACAAUGGCGAAUCUUACUUCCCAGGCGGUGCAGUGGAACAGAUCGAAGCUACAACGGUGAAUCUCGCUUCCCCGACAUUGUAAUUAAAAGAUUGAAGCCACAACAACGAAUCUUACUUCCCUGACAAUGUGGUGGAACAGAUUGAAGCUACAAGGGUGAAUCUUGCUUCCCUGACAUUGCAAUUUAAAAGAUUGAAGCCACAACGGUGAAUCUUACUUUCCUGGCGGUGUAGCGGAACAAAUUGUAGCUACAAUGACGAAUCUUACUUCCCCGACAUUACAAUUUAAAAGAUUGAAGCCACAACGGCGAAUCUUACUUCCCUGGAGAUGCAAUGGAAUAGAUUGAAGCUACGACGGUGAAUCUUGCUUCCCCGACAUUGCAGUUAAAUAGAUUGAAGUUACAACAGCAAAUCUUAUUUUCCUGGCGGUGUAGUGAAAUAGAUUGAAGCUACGACGGUGAAUCUUACUUCCCCGACAUUGUGUUAAACAGAUUAAAUAUGACAGAUAUUAUCUCUCUGAAGUUGCAGUAGAGUAGAUCGCAUCCAGUCUUAUCUCCUUGAAGUUGCAGAGGAACAGACAGAAGAAACCAAUCCUAUCUCCCUAAAGUUGCAAUGAAGCAGAUUAAAAACUCAAAUCUUAUCUCUCUGACGUUACAGCAGAGCAGAUCGCAUCCAGUCUUGUCUCCCUGAAGUUGCAAUGGAGCAGGUUAAAGAUACCAAUCUUAUCUCCCUAAAGUUACAGUGGAGAAGAUUGCAUAUGAAUCUUAUACAUCUGAAGCUGCAGUAUGUCGGAUUAAAUCUACCAUAAGAAGUCUUCUCUUCCUGACGUCACAAUGGAGCAGACUAAAACCACAAACCUCGUCCCCUGAAGUUACUGCGAAGAAGAUUGAAGCUACAAGUUAGAUCCCCCUGAAGUGCAGUGGAGUCGAUUGAAGCGACAAGACAUAGUGGAUUGGAAUAGGGCUACUUGAAGAAGAAAGACACCAAGAAGUCAAGACUCAACGAGACCGGGCAAAAUCGGUCUUUCUUAGUCUUUACUCUAUUCUCGUUACACGACAACGAGUAAAGAGGGGCAGCUGUAUAGCCUAAUUUUAUACCCGAGCCCAAUUAACCUUCAGCCCAUUGCAAACCUACCCAAAACCCAAUACAAUACAACCCAAACAAAUUUAACCCUAAGCCCAAUGGCCCAACUAACUAAACAAUUUUCAGAAAAAAAAAAGAAAAAAUAGAAACCCUAGCCCCUAGGUGCGCCGCACCUAGGGCCUUCUGCCACCGUCCCAUCACCCCACUCGUCACCGCCUCUGACCAGCGCCACGCGGCCUCACCUGCUCCCAACUGCUUACCUGCAAACAAGUAAACAAAGCAGCAACAAUAAGAAAAUAAUAGAAAAAUUGUAAAAGGCUAUAUAAAGCCAUUCGAAUUUUUUAAAGGGGGAUUUUUUUGUUUUGAAAUCGGUAUAAAAACCGAUAGAAACCAUUGUAACGUGGAACCAUUUUUUUGUUUUUUUCCUGGUUUUUGAGAAAUAAAAAGAGGAGAUUCAAACAAAAAGUAAAAAAAAGUCCCAAAAGCAAAGGUUUUUACUUUUGUUCUUUUUUCGAAACCUUUUAUUCAUUUUUUAAUUGCUCUCUUUUAAUAUACAUAUAUAUACAGUAUGUAUAUAUAUAUAUAAACGGGGAAAUGCACCUUUUCAACUUUCUAGCCACCGUGGACGGCGACGCCGUCGACGGUGAUCGACAGUCGGCGCGGCGGUGGUCGGCCGAUCCUCUGGCCGGAUUCUGGGCAGCACUCAGAGAAGGGGAGAGUGUUUUUGAAAUUUUUUUUGAAAAGAAGGAGAAAAUGAAAUGUUUCGAAAAAAAGUUGGCUUAAAUAGGCUUCCCAAACGACGUCGUUUUGGGCAGCCUUUUCAAGCACCAAAACGGCGCCGUUUUAAGGCCGACUCGAUCUGCCCGACCCGUUCCAGGCUAAGAUCCGCGCUUUUUUUAGCGGAAGGGCUAAUUGCGCUAUCAGCCGUUUCGUUUUUAAAUAAUUUUGCAAUCAAGUUUUGUUCCUUUUUAAAUUUGCCCUGUAAUUUAUGUUGAUUUACUAUCUGGUCCAUUUUGAAACGCGGUGCUUUGGAGGGUGGGAAUAUUUCCCAUUUUGGUCCCUCUAUUUUUACGCGCGUUACAUUUAGGCCCCAAUUUUUUUUUAAAAUUUGGAUCUUUAAUUUUAUUUUUCUUUCAACUUAGUCCCUUUCGCGUUUUAUUUCUAAUUUAGUCCCUUUCGCUUUUUAUUUCUAAUUUGGGCUCUCAAUUCUAUUUUUAACUUCAUUUUAAUACAGUUUUCGUUUAUUAUCAUUUUUUUUAUAUUUAUAUAUAUAUAUGUACAUUUUUUAUAGCAUAUUUAAUAUGUACAUACAUACGCAUAUUUUUAUAUAUUUUAUAAUCUAUAUAUAUAUACAUUUUUACGAAUAUAUAUACAUAUUUAUGUGUUUUUUUUAUAAAUUCUAUAUACAUAUAUGUGUAUAUACAUACUUACAUAAACUUUUAUAUUUAAUAAUUUUAAAAUACAUAUAUACAUAUAUUUUUCAUAUUUUUAUAUAUUUAUGUACAUACACACGUUUUUAUAACGUACAUACUUAUAUUUCAUAUAUUUUUGUAUUUUAUAAUCUAUAUACAUAUAUAUGUAAAUACUUAUAUUUUUAUAUUUUAUAAUUCAUAUAUAUCUUUUAUUUAUUUUCUUCUUUUAUUUAUUUAUUUACACGUCCGUUAUUAUUAUUUGUUAUGCUUUAGAAUUUUUAUUUGUUUAUUACUUGUUAUUGUGCAUACGUGAUUGAUUUUAUAUAUAUAUUUGUCUUCUUAUUUAUUUAUCUUUUGUUGUUGCUUGUAUUAUUUUACUUACAUCAUCAUCAUUGUUAUUCCAUUACACCCAUUUUUAUUUAGAUUUCAAAAAAGAAACUUUAAAAAUAUAAGUAAUACUCGGUAUUUGGGAUCUUCGAGAGAAUCGAGCCCUAACGUAUUGGGUUCCAAUUUUCUUCGUUGAACCUAAAUAAUCGAGAUUACUCUUUAAAAAAAUAAUAAAAAGCUCAUUAUCGGGAAUUCAAUACGUUGUGUCCUAACGCAUUGGAUAUGACACGUUGUUUUCCCGAUAUGAGGAUUUUUUCUAAAAAAAUAGUAAAGGCAGUAUUUUGCAUUUGGAAAUUCAAGAAGGUCUUACCCUAACUUACUGGGUUUUGAUUUUCACGGUGAAUCUAAAUACACUAGUCUUUUUUCAAACCUAAGCUUUAAACGACCUCGGAAGUUAAGAAAAGAUCAAGUCCUAACUUACUGGGCCUAAUCCCUUUUUUCUAAAAUCUGAGAUAACUAAAUAUCUUUUAAAUAAGUAAACUUUGACAUUCAUUCGCGUAUCGGGAAUUCGAGACAUUGUGUCCUAACUUACUGGAUAUGAUGCUUUUUUCGAUUAACGUGAAAUAUGCUUCUUUUCCCAAAAAUUCUCAACAUUUUAAAACAAGGAUCGUUGUACAACCCAUUUGUCCCGGCCCAUUACAAACCCACCUAAAAUCUACCCCAAAGCCCAAAUUACACCAGGGGCCCAAUACAAAUUAAACCCCAAACAGACCUAGCCUAAUACCUCUAGCCCAGUCAAACCCAUACGGCCCAAAUGACCCCAGACCCAGCAAUGAGUCAAACCAGGGUUUCAGAGACUGAAACCCUAGUACUGUCGCACCUGUCGCGUCAACAGCAAGUGGCCACCGACCCACCGCUCACCCACUUGCCCAUGCCAUUGAAUACCUGCAAAACAAUAAAAGAGCAAGUAGAUAGAAAAGAAAAGGGGGGCUAUAAAAGCCGAACACUGCUGUGAUUUCGGGGUUCUUCUCCGUUUUUUGUAAAAAAAACGUUACAGAGAAACACAAAAAUAAAACAGAUUCAAGUAAGAAAAGAAAUGCAAGCAGAAAAGGAAAGCCAAGGUUUCUCUCUUUAUUUAUUUUUCUUUUUUCGAAACCAUCCACAAAUGUACAAGUAUUUAUUUAUAUAAUACGCAUACAUCUAUACAUAUAAAAAAAGAGUAAAAAAGAAGACGAGGAUACCUGCUUAUUAGGUCGUGUGAAAAGAGGAAUUUUUUUAGCCCUCCGGCCGCCGCAUACGGUGGGGCCGGUGCCGGCAGCCGAUGUGACGUCGACUGGCCGGACACCGUCCAGGCCCUCAGACCCCCUGCAGAGAAAAGAGCCAUUUUUUUCUGAAAAUGAGAAAGAAAUGAUUUUUUUGAGAAAUUCUUGGAUUAAAUAGUCGAACAAAACGACGCCAUUUUCCCCCCAGGAUACUCGUGUCGACCCAACCCGCAAGAGAGAAUCCGCGUGUUUUGUCAAAAGGGGAAAUUGCGAUUCUGGCCCCUCCAUGUUCUAGCUUUUCGCGAUCAAAUUUCUUUUAUUUUUAAAAUUUUACCCUUUAAUUUAUUUUCAACUUCAAUUUGAUUCUCGUUGGACGAUGUCGUUUUAUAAGCGAGGGGUUAUCCUCCUCUUUAGUCCUUCGCCCUUUCGCGCCCUUCCGUUUUGGUCCUCCUUUGUGCAUUUUAAUAUAAUUUUAACCUUUAAAUUUUAUUUUUUUUCCAAAUUGGUCCAUUUUUUGUUAUUUCUGUUAUUUUAUUAACUAAUCCAGUUAUUAUUAUACUUAUUUUAUAGGUAUAUAUAUAUAUUGCUAUUACGUUAUUAUAUCUAUACCAUUAGCUUUAUAUUAUAAUUUUUAUUUAUAUUUACUUAUUUAAAUUUUAAAUAAAAUUGUCUUAUUAUAUUACUAUUAUAAUUAUUUAUAUAUAUAUAUAUAUCAUUACACCUAAUCAUGUACAUAUGUUUAUAUUUCCUCAUAUAUCUAUACUUCCUUAUAUGUAAUUUUAUAUAUGUUUUCUAUACCUUAUAUACACACAUAUAUAUAUACAUUUUACAAUAUAUACAAAUAUAAAUUUAUCCUUUUAUUACUUAUGUACAUAUUUACGUAUUUAUAUACCUUUCUAAUAUAUUGCAUUUUAUACCUUAUAUUAUUUAUAUACCUUUAUAUACAUAUAUAUUUAAUGUCUUAUAUAUAUCUUUUUAUACACCUUUUAAUUUUGAUAUACAUAUAUUUAUACCUUUAUAUAUACAUAUAUAUACGUAUACAUAUAUCUUUUUGUAUUUUUAUUACUUUCACUUAUUUAUCUAUUCUUUCAUAUUGUCAUUAUAUUAAAUGUUUCAUUCUUUUCUGCUUAUAUAUUCGUUAUUCGGCAUGUUAUUAAUUCAUUUUUUCUUGUUUUUAUUACUGUUCGUAUUAUAUUACAUUAUCGUAUUUAUUAUUGUUUCGCAUACGUAUCCAAUGUAAUUUUUUUUCGCAUUUUUUUCAUCUUACUUUAUUCAAUAUAUCAAAACCUGUUUUUCUCAUAUUUCGAUAUUCGAAGAAUCGUACCCUAACUUACGGGGUUUCAAUUUUCUCGAUAAAUCUAAAUACGUGAAUCAUUUCAAACAAAGUUUUUAAAUGCACUCGGGAAUUAACGAAAGAUCGUGUUCUAACUCACGGGACAUGAUCUCUUUCCUAAACCCGAGGUAACCAAAUAUCUUUCAAAAAUAAAUAAAUUUCAGCAUUCAUUCGCGCAUUGAGAAUUCAAGACAUUGUGUCCUAACUUACGAGAUGCGAUUCUUUUUUUCUCGAUCAACGUGAAGUAUGCCCUUUUUUCUUUUCAAAUAGUUUUUGUAUUUCGAUAAAAGAUCGCAUUUUAAAUCUCUUCAAAGUUUUCAAUCUUUCGACACUAAGACAUUAAUUAAUCGACCAGGUACCAAUUUUGGGUGUUACGAGGGUGCUAAUCCUUCCUCGUAUGCAACCGACUCCCAAACCUGUUUUUCUAAAUUUCGUGGACCAAAAAUUGUUGUUUUAAUAAAAUCAAAUCGUGUAUUAAAAACAACCACUUUUCGAGGUGAUCUAAUCACACCUCAUCAAAAAGGAUUGGUGGCGACUCCCACAUUCGGUUUCAUUUUUUAUAAAACCCAAGUUGACCCUGUUUUUAUCAAAAAAUGGUGUCAACAGCUUGGCAACUCCACUGGGGACCAAAUAAGUGAGUCAAGCCACGAGUUGAUUACUUUUUGUCUUUUUUUCAAAAAUCAAAAACUUGGUUUAAAUAUACGAUCCUUUCGUUGCAUUUCAUUCGUCUUUAUUACGAUCGUCAUCAUUGUGGUUUAUAAUCGCUGUGUUUUGGUAUCUUUUUGCACAUUGCAUUGCAUGACCGUUGGUCGCAUCCUUUUAAGUGGGAGUGAGAAACUACGAUUUCGUGAGGUUUUCACCUCCACAUGGGAUAGUGAAUCGCUUCCAGGAUACAUCCGUACCUUUUUCUUUGUGAGAUUUUCAUCUCCGCAUGGCCAUAGGGAAUUGUAUUCCCUGAACUGAACUCGAUCUGUAUGAGCCUAUAAUGGGUGAGGAUCGAGGAAUCUGCUGGUUCGGGUACCUUUACUUUAGAACUAAACCGCAUGUAGAACACCUUAGGAGCCCACCCUAGGUAGAGCCACUUCAAGCCCUUAGUGGUCACCCAAAUAGGUGCUCUAUGUAUUUCUUUCUUGCUUGCUUUUGAUUUGUACUAAUCCAUUUUCUUUUUUCUUGGUUAUAAUUGCAUUGCAUUAUCAUCAUAGAAAAGAGGUGUCGAUUCACGUUCAGCAUCUAGAUAGAAAGCUUAUCAUGGAGAAGGGGUUUCUUGAUAAAGUAGAAGACAAUGCAGCUGUCCGAGUAUGGACUGAGACGACGCAACGAGAGAAAGGCGAUAGUCUUACAGAGGGAUAUGCAUUAGAGUUGUGGGAUUUCACACGUAUCAGCGUAAUCCAAAAUGAUCUUCAGGAAAUGAAGGAAAUAUGGGGACAAUGGGAUGAUAAGAUCAAACAGUUGUUCUACUGCAACUACGGUGACUUGCCUUAUCUGCUCAGUGUCAAAGUGGACAAGCAUUUGUUCUGAGCCCUUGCCCAAUUUUGGAAUCCUGCUUACAGUUGUUUCACUUUUGGAAAAGUGGACUUAGUGCCUACUGUAGAAGAAUAUACAACCUUGCUUCAGUGCCCAAAGAUUCAAGUUGACAAGGCUUACUCUAGAGCUGUUAGUGACCCGACAUUUUUGAAAAAAAUGAUGAACAUUACAGGAAUGAGCGAACAGUGGGUUGCUGCCCGAAUCUAACAGAAAGGUGAAAGUAAUUGCGUUCCUUGGAAAAGCUUGAGAGAUUUAGUGCUAGCACACCCUGAUGUGAAGAAAAGAGUUGAUGCCUUUGCUCUAGGUAUCUAUGGAUUGGUAAUCUUCCCCAAAGCUUUAGGACACAUAGACGAAAGUGUCUCUGAUUUAUUUGAUCGGCUUAGUAAAAGGGUCACGCCCGUCCCGGCAAUAUUGGUAGAAACUUUUAGAUCCUUGAAUUCAUGUUGGAGAGUAGGCGAGGGAAGAUUUAUUGGAUGCACACAGCUCUUAUUAGCAUGGUUUCAUAGCCACUCCUGGAAAGUAGAAAAAGUCUAUUAUCGAGUAUUCUCCGAUAGCUACUCCCCUCUGGAGGAAUUGGUGGCUACGCCAAGGCGAGAUGAUAUUUCGGAAGAAAAAUGGAUGGCGAUACUUCAGAAUCUCCGAUAUGAAGACGUCGAAUGGAGAGCCCCUUCGAUGAUUCCCAAUGAGAUUUUAUACUGAUGUGGAGAUUUUGAUUGGGUUCCUCUACUCGGAAUAUGGGGAGUCAUCGAAUACGCUCCUCUACUCGUAUCAAGGUAGUACAGAUCACGACAAUUCAUACCAGCAACGCAGGGGCUGGCCCAAUGCCAAUUUUCCUAUAGGGGUGACAAUUACAAGAAAAAGGUUCAAGAAAUGUCUAAUGCCUAGAAUCAAACCCGUCGAAUGAAGACCUUGGCUGUGGGUCCAGCAAUGACCCUCGAAUAUAGGUGGCGUGACCAAAGGGUUAAUGACAACAUCCCCGCGGCAAAUCCAAAAACCGCUCGAUCUUUGGAAGAGCACCUACAAGUAAUUCCCUCUGAGCUGGAAAUCAUCAAGCAAGAUUUUGAAAAGAGGAAUUUGGAAUUAGGGAGGAAGAUAGAGCAAUUAGAGGAAGAAAAAAUACAUCUAGGACUAGAUGUUGAUGUUCAAAAAUUAGAGGUCGAUAAACUGAUAAAAGGAAAGAACAAGGCCAAAGAGGAUUUAGACAGCCUGAAGACGGGCUACAAGAAGUUCCGUAGGUCAAUGAGAAUUGCCGGCUUGGGUAAAAUGUCGGAGCAAUGGCGACAAGAAAUUCAAGAGGAAAAGAUUAAAGUUGGUCAAUGGGAAAACAAAUUCCAAAAUACUCUAGCUCGAGAAGUUACCUUGGAAAAGAGUUUGUUAGUAUGCCAAAAUGAGAAUACGGGAUUGCAAGUUCGAGUAACCGAGUUAGAAAGGUCACUUCACCAGCACCGUAGCCGUAAUUCCAUGGUCGAGUUAAAAGCAAGCUUAAGCAAAAUCGAGGAAUUGAGGGGAAAAGUGGGAGAGCUCGAAGACGCGUUGUAGAAUAGCGAACUUAGAAUAAAGCUUUUUGAAAGGGGUAAUAAAUAGUGGCAAGAGCAGCUCCAUCGAUCCCAAGACCAGAUUAGAGAUAGAGAUUAUAUUAUGGGCGAGGCGGUGGCCCAGGUGCGCGAACUAGCCGACCAUCUACAAGACCUAGCAAUUCAAGCUGAUGUAUUAAGUUUGAAGUAUGAGUCAGAAUCAGACCGGGGCCUAGAGUUAGCUUGGCUUCUUAGAAAGGUUAAGGCUUUGAGUAUAAGGGCAAAGCCGUACAUGUAAUCUAUUUUAUGUAAAGAAAUUUCUUUUCUAGUAAAGUUUUCUAGUGAAGUUGAAUCAAAAUCAAUGCAUCUUUUUCCAUUCAUCUCAUGCAUUUGUAUUACAUCACAUGCAUCAAGUUUAAUAACAUGCCCUAAUAAAAUAAAAUUAUAACAGUUAUCCUGGAACAUCCCUACGUCACGCGAAGGAAAACGAAAGCGAUGGAUCAAAUAUUAGAAAGGUUGGAGCAACUGAUGGAUCAAAGAUUAGAAAGGUUGGAACAAUUGCAAAAAGAAAUGCAAGAUCAAAUACAAGAAAAACUAGCUAAAAUGCUGCAAGACAUGGAAGAAUCUCAAAGAGAUUUAUUGAGUCAUUUAAAAUAGUUACUAGCUGGGGGGCAAGAUAAGGGAAAGAGCCCUGUGGUCAAUUUUGGGGAUGAUCAUGAAGACCCUGUCUAUCCUCCAGGUUUCGCCCCAACUAAUAUCCAGGCGCAACUAGAGGUGCACCCACAGAGGGUACCUGUCACAAUCAGAUCCCAAUACCAAAUCGGUGCCCCAGCGUCGAUGAACUUCCCAGCGGGCUCAGGUUCUAAUCUUAGGGAUAAUCCUACAAAUCACGUAGUUCCUGAUCUCAACGAUGUAGCAGAAAUGAAGAAGGCAAGAGUCGACCUGCCAAAACAACUAGAAGACUGGUGUAGGUGGCUAGAGGAGAAGUUUAAAGCCAUGGGAAACGCUAACUAUCAUCGAGGAAUGAACGCUAAAGACUUAAGUCUGGUACCUGAUUUGGUGCUCCCUCCCAAAUUUAAAAUGCCGGAGUUCGAAAAGUAUAACGGGACUAGUCGUCCUGAAGCUCAUAUUACUAUGUUCUAUUGGAAGAUGACGGGGUACAUCAACAAUGAUCAAUUGUUGAUUCACUGCUUUCAAGACAGUUUGACUGGGUCAGCGGCAAGAUGGUAUAACCAAUUAAGCCGAGCCAACAUCCAUUAAUGGAAGGAUUUGGCGCAGGCUUUUAUGAAGUAAUACAGCCACGUGAUGGAUAUAGCACCCGAUCGAAUUACAUUGCAGAACAUGGAAAAGAAGCCUGGUGAGAGCUUCAGACAAUAUGCCCAAAGAUGGAGAGAAGUGGCAGCGCAAGUCCAACCACCACUUCUGGAGAAAGAGACAACCAUGCUUUUCAUCAAUACUUUGAAGGCUCCAUUUAUCAAUCAUAUGUUGGGCAGUGCCACUAAAAGCUUUUCAGACAUAUUGAUGUCCGGAGAAAUGAUAGAGAACGCCAUAAGAUGCGGCAAGAUAGAAGCGGUAGAAAGUGCUAAAAGGUCAUCCUCGAGAAAGAAAGAACACGAGAUAAAAAAUGCAAAUAUAAUUAACAAGGACUAUUCCAAACCAAUCACGGUGAGACAAGUGAGAGCACUAACCAUUAGUCAUCAAGGCUCUUCAAGGCAGGAAUCCAAUCCAAGGCCAAAUGUAGAAUGACUCCAAUUUACUCUCAUUCCAAUGACGUAUCAGAGCUGUACCAAAACUUAUUCGAUGCACAUGUGGUGUCUUCAUACUACCUAAAACCCAUACAACCUCUAUAUCCUAAAUGGUACGACGCGAAUACCCAAUGCGAGUAUCACGCGGGGACUACGAGGCACUCGAUUGAAAAUUGCACUGCGUUCAAGAAGUUAGUUGAAAAAUUUAUCCAGAUGGGGAUCGUAAAGUUUGAUGACCCAUCAGGACCGAACGUAGCAGGUAAUCCGUUACCUAAUCAUGUUGAUAAAGGGGUUAACGCGAUAAUCAAGAAUGGGAAAAAAGAAUUAAAAAUGACAUAGCCGAGAUAAAAUCCCAGUUUAAAUGGGUUUGGAGACAAAUGAUAAAAGGAGGCCUUAUCAGACAGGAUUCAAUGGAAAGGCCUGAGGGAACGAGAAAGUACUGUGAGUUCCAUGCUGAAGAGGGUUACGAUAUCUAAAAAUGUGCUGAGUUUAGAACAAUGGUGCAAAACUUGAUGGAUAACAAAGAGUUGGAGUUUUAUGAAGAGAUCGAUGGAUUAGAAGGGGGAGAAUUUUACGCCUCAGAGGAAGGAUCUGCGGGGAAAACCCAAAAGGUUAAUCACUCAGUGGUGAUUAUUUCAAGGCUAAAGAGCACAGAAUCUGGAAUACAAAUAGCGCCAAGGGUCAUAAUCCAAAAACCUAUUUCCUUUUCCUACAAGGAUAGCAAAAGAGUUCCUUGGAAUUAUGACUGCAACGUGGCAAUCCCUGGAGAAGAGAACUCGGUAAAUGCUACUAAAGAGAACGACAAUGUAGGCUUCUAUACAUGAAGUGGAAAAUGCUACGAUCUGGUGAAUGCAAGAGUGGAACCUACAAAAGGAAAAGCCUUAGCAGUUGAGCUAGGGGAAACAAAAAUAGAUAGAAUUGAAUCGCAUGUUAAUCAGCCAAUAACUCAAAAUAAGGCUAGAGAAUUUCUAAAAUUCUUAAAGCGUAACGAGUAUAACAUGGUGGAACAACUACAAAAGCAACCAACUCAUAUCUCGGUGCUCGAGUUGCUUCUAAGUUCAGAGACACAUCGUAAUGCACUGAUGAAAGUACUAAAUGAAACUUAUGUCGCUAACGAUAUCUCGGUGAACAAGUUGGACCGUCUGGUUAGCAAUAUAAGUGUUGAUAAUUUUAUUUUCUUUAAUGAUGAUGAAAUACCGCCAGGGGGAAGAGGAGCCACCAAAGCCUUACAUAUCACCACUCGUUGCAAAGAAUACACGUUACCAGGAGUGUUAAUCGAUAAUGGAUCGGCCUUAAAUGUCUUACCCUUAUCCACCUUAAACAGGUUACCUGUGGAUAGCUCUCACAUGAAGUCAUGUCAGAAUAUAGUGAGAGCAUUUGAUGGCACUGAAAGGAGGGUAAUAGGAAGAAUAGAAAUACCCCUUUUGAUUGGGCCGAACACAUACGAGGUGGAUUUCUUAGUGAUGGACAUCAAGCCUUCGCAUAAUUACUUGUUGGGAAGACCUUGGAUUCAUUCAGCAGGAGCAGUGCCUUCAUUAUUGCAUCAAAAGUUGAAAUUGGUAACAGAAGGCCGAUUAGUUACGAUAAGCGCUGAAGAAGACAUUAUUGCAUCAGUAACCAGUGAUGCACCAUAUUUAGAAACGGAUGAUGAGGCGAUUGAAUUUUUUUAUCCUUAGAAUUCGUGAAUAUGACAUUUGUUGUCGAAGGGAGUAAGAACUCAAUGCCUAGCCUAUCUAGAGCCACGAGGAUGGGACUACAAAUGACGGUUGGGAAAGGAGCCAUGCCUGAGAGAGGACUUGGAAGGUUCCUUCAAGAAAGGAUAGAGGCGCCAGUGAUGAAAGAUAAACGAGACCUCUUUGGCUUAGGAUUUAAGCCAAACGCAAAGCAAAGACGGAAAGAGUUAAAAAAAGACCAGUGAGAAGGAAGGUGCGUUUGAGUGGAGAAGAAAUUGAUUGAGAACAUAUGACUUUCCCCCACAUAUCCAAGACCUUCGUAUCAGGGGAACCAUGUAUUCUAGAUUGAGGACACCAAGAAAGGAAACUACAGAGGAAAUGUUAGGAAGCUUGAACAUGAAUGCCAUAUUCAAAGAAGAAUUCGAAGAAGGAAAUAUAUCAGGCAUCCGUCCCUUUGAACCUGGAAGUGUUCUAAAUAAUUGGACUGCAGAAUAUAUAUCUAAAGUUUUUAAAGCUUUCCCAAAGUAAUAUUCAAAACAUACUAAUUGUUUUAAGCCUAGAGACAGUGAAAACUUUUUGUGAAAUUAGCAUAUGUUUGAACAUUGUGACUUCAAUGAAAUAUAUCUUCGUAAUUAUUUUUUGAGCAUAUAUUCUUCUAAGAUUCUUUCAUUCUUUCAUACGAAUAGUCAUCUUGGAUGUUUUUAUUUUAUUUCAAAUCAUUCUUCCAUUAAUUCAUGGCCAUACUAUAAAUAAGUAUUCUUAAAUUCAUACAUUCCUUGUAUACUUUUUGGUACAUAUAACAGGUCCUUAAAUAUCAAUGACAUGAGUGGUUCUACUAUGGACUCAAAAAAUCCUUUUGAAUGGGAUACGUGUCUAGAGGAAUCUCAUGAUUUUGAAGAUAACAUAGAUUGCAACCUAUCUCCGGACUUGUUGAGGAUGGUAGAGCAGGAGGAGAAACAAAUCCUACCUCACAAGGAGACGGUGGAGACUGUGAUUCUAGAGGAAGGAAAGGUGGUGAAAAUUAGAACAUGCAUAGCUGAAGAAAUGAAACAAGACUUUAUUAAGUUGCUUCGGGAGUUCAAAGAUGUUUCGCAUGGUCAUACCAGGAUAUGCCUGGGUUAAAUACCGAUAUUGUAGUUCACCGUCUCCCUAUAAAGGAGGAUGGCAAGCCAGUUCAGUAAAAACUCUGAAGAAUGAGGCCGAAUGUUGUACUAAAAAUAAAGGAGGAAGUGCAAAAAUAAUUUGAUGCUGGGUUCCUACAAGUGGUCAAAUAGUCCGAGUGGGUAGCCAAUAUUGUAUCUGUCCCUAAGAAAGAUGGAAAGGUACGAGUGUGUGUAGAUUACAGAGAUUUAAAUAAGGCUAGCCCAAAAGAUAAUUUUCCUUUCCCUCAUAUCGACACCUUGAUAGAUAACACGACAGGACACUCGCUGUUUUCUUUCAUGGAUGGUUUCUCGGGAUAUAACCAAAUUAAGAUGCAUCCUGAGGAUAUGAAGAAAACUACAUUCAUAAUCUUAUGGGGACUUUCUGUUAUAAAGUGAUGCUAUUUAGGUUGAAAAAUACGGGAGCCACAUACCAGAGAGCCAUGGUGACCCUUUUCUAUGAUAUGAUGCAUGAGGAGAUUGAAGUAUAUGUUAACGACAUGAUCGCAAAAUCCCAGACGGAAAGAGAACAUGUGCAAGUUCUAAGAAAGUUAUUCUUAAGAUUAAGGAAGUUCCAACUCAAACUUAAUCCAUCCAAAUGUAUCUUUGGAGCUAGGUUAGGGAAACUUCUGGGAUUUGUAAUCAGUGAAAAAAGGGAUUGAAAUCGACCCAGACAAAGUCAAGGAAAUUCGAGAUUUGCCUCCACCACGUACUCAGAAAGAAGUUAGAGGUUUUUUUGGAAGACUGAAUUACAUUGCUCAGUUUAUUUCGCAGCUAACUGAGAAAUGUGACCCAAUAUUCCGUCUUUUGAAGAAGCACAAUCAAAACAUGUGGAAUGGGGGAUGCCAGGAGGCUUUUGAUAAGAUAAAACAGUACUUGUCCAAGACUUCAGUAUUGUCACCGCCUAGGCCAGUUAAACCAUUGAUCCUGUAUUUAACAGUGUUCGACAACUCCAUGGGAUGUGUGCUGGGUCAACAUGAAAAGACAGGAAAGAAGGAAAAGGCGAUCUAUUAUCUUAGUAAGAAAUUUACUGAUUGCGAAAUGAGGUAUACGCCUAUUGAAAAAUUAUGUUGCGCCUUGAUCUGGACGACACGAAGAUUGAGGCAAUACAUGCUCUAUCAUACUAUUUGGCUAAUUUUAAAGUUAGAUCCUCUAAAGUAUAUGAUGGAGUCAAUGGCAUUUAAUGGGAGGAUGGCUAGGUGGCAGAUCCUACUCUCUGAAUUUGAUAUAGUCUACGUAAAUCAGAAGGCUAUCCAAGGGAGCGCGAUAGUAAAAUUUUUAGCCAGUAGAGCUUUAGAAGACUACGAACCUCUAAAUUUUGAUUUCCCGAAUGAAGACUUGAUGUAUGUGGCAACCGCUAAAGAGGAUUCCCACGAAAAUCAUCCUUGGAAGUUAAGCUUUGAUGGAGCUUCGAAUGUUGUAGGUAAUGGAAUUGGGGCAGUCCUGGUGUCCCCUGACGGAGAUCAUUAUCCUUUUACCAGUAAAUUGGAUUUUGAUUGCAUCAAUAACAUGGCUGAGUAUGAAGCUUGCAUCAUGGGCAUCCGGGCAGCCAUAGAGCGAAAAAUUAAGAUACUAAAGGUAUACGGAGACUCUGCAUUGGUAAUAUACCAGCUCAAAGGGGAAUGGGAAACGAGAGACCCAAAGUUAGUCCACUAUCAAAAAUUGGUUCUGGAAUUGAUUGAGGAGUUUGAUAGUGUCACCUUUUGUUAUCUCCCACGAGACGAGAACUAGAUGGCUGAUGCUUUAGCCACGCUAGCCUCUAUGAUCAAAGUAAACAAACCAGAAGAUUUGAGGCCUACUCAGAUCAGCAUUCAUGAGACCCCAGCUCCUUGCUACAGUAUUGAAGAAGAGGAAAAUGAUGACCAUCCAUGGUACCAAGACAUACUAUGAUAUGUAAAGAACCGUUAAUACCCCAACCAUGCGAUAGAAAAUGAAAAAAGGAAAUUGAGAAGACUGGCUAUUGAUAAUGUUCUGGAUGGAGAGAUUUUGUACAAGAGGGGAAGGGAUCAAGUAUUGUUGAGAUGCGUAGAUGCUGUGGAGGCUAAGAAAAUCUUAGAAGAAGUCCAUAAAGGUAUCUAUGGAACGCAUGCCAAUGGCCUCACAAUGGCCAAACAGAUUAUGAGAUUCGGGUACUAUUGUUCCACCAUGGAAGGAGAUUGCAUUAAUUAUGCCAAAAAGUACCAUAAAUGUCAAAUUUGUGGUGAUAAAAUGCAUGCACCACCUUCGCCCCUUCACAUUAUGACCUCUCCAUGGCCUUUUUCCAUGUGGGGAAUGGAUGUCAUUGGGCCAAUAUCUCCAAAGGCUUCUAAUGAGCAUCGUUUUAUUUUUGUGGAGACUGCUUAGUAUGCUAACAUCACGAAAUCAGCAGUUAGCAGGUUUCUGAAAAAGGAGAUUAUAUAUUGAUACGGGAUGCCUGAAAGGAUCAUAUCUGACAAUGCGCUGAACUUGAACAACAACUUAAUAGCGGAAGUUUGUAAUCAGUUCAAGAUCAAACACCAUAAUUCGUCACCGUACCGCCUCAAAAUGAAUGGUACCGUGGAAGCAGCUAACAAAAAUAUCAAGAAAAUUAUAGGGAAAAUGACUGAAACCUACAAGGACUGGCACAAGAAAUUACCUUUCGCUCUCCUAGCAUAUCGAACAUCCGUUAGGACUUCUACUGGAGCGACACCGUUUUCUUUAGUUUAUGGGAUGGAGGCAGUGUUACCCAUUGAAGUUGAGAUCCCUUCUCUUCGGGUGUUGGCCUAGCUCAGGUUAGAAGAGGCUGAAUGGGUUCAAUCUCGAUAUGACCAGCUAAAUCUGAUAGAAGAAAAGAGGCUGAGAGCUAUUUGUCAUGGUCAGAUGUAUCAGAAAUGAAUGAUACGAGCCUAUAACAAAAAGGUUCGUCCUAGAGAAUUUCACGAGGGGGGCCUAGUGUUGAAAAAGAUUCUUCCUCUACAAAAGGAUUUUAGAUGAAAAUGGAUGCCGAAUUGGAGAGGACCUUAUGUCGUAAAGAAGGCCUUUUCUAGAAGGGCUCUGAUCUUAAGUGUGAUGGAUGGUGAAAGCCUGCUAAAUCUUAUAAACUCAGAUUAAGUCAAGAAGUACUUCACUUGAAGAAAGAGGACCAAGGUGAAAACCCACAAAAGGCGCUUUAAGUUCUAAAAAAAAAAAGAAGGAGAGGCCAAGGUGAAAACCCAUAAAGGGUGCCUUGAGACCUAAGGUGAUUUGAGUUGAAAACCCGAAAAGGGCAGCUCAAAUUUUGGAUCAAAUUGGGGCAUGAGGUGAUCAGAAUAGCUCAAAUGCAGACAGGGGCAUAUGGCGACCUUGUUAUACCUAAAUCAACAGGAAAGGGUAGGCAGCAUCUUGGGGCAUCGACAAAAGCACUAUAGAUCUCCUAAAUACAUGUCAACUUCAGAAGGGUCUUUAGGAAGUUUGUGUGGAGAAGCCCAUGCUACGAUAUCUGGGGCACCUGUUGUCAUUUUAUCUAUCUAGAAUAUUAGCAAAAUUUGUUGUCUUGAUUAAUUUUUUUAGAGCUCUGCACUCAAUAAAAUUCCAUUUUGUCCAUUGGGACAAUCUUUUUCAUCCUAUUUAUUUUGAAUCUUAGCAAAAUUUGCUAUCCUGAUUAUUUUACUUGUUUAGAGCUUCGAUCUCAAUAAAUUUCAUCUUGCCCCUUAUGAUGAUCUUUUCCAAGUUUUUUCCAUUGAAAUGAAGUUUAAUGGACUAUUAAAGGAGUUUUGCAUAUUACUCCGGAAGCUUCUAAAUAAUACGGGAACCUGAAAUAGGACUAUUGUUUAGAAUACGCCAAGUUUAAAGGUCGAAAUGUCUAAAGAGGAAAGUCUAAAUCAGGACUAUCCUUUUGGAUUUUGUUGUCCAAACAUGGAUUGAACAAAACGGUAAAAUGUCGUGUUGGUGACAAAUCUUCGAUGAACAAACAAGCAAUAGUCACCGAAUGAUAAGAAGAGGUUUCUCGAAAGAGAAAAUUCUACAAUUGUACAUAAACAUUUGAUAUGACACCCUUGGAAAGGUGUAGGGGACUAAGAAAAUUCGGAUCCUGUAUCCCCGAAUUACAGUGGGAAAGUUUUGAGAAAGAGUCAGAUCUUAUACUCAGUAGGAGGAAGAUGGCUCGAAUGUUAUAUCCCAAAAUUACCGUGGACUUAACCUUGAAGAUUACAACGGAUUGAACUUUGAAGAUUACAGUGGGGGGCAAUCCGGCUAAGUAAGGGGUGAGUGUUACCAGCUGAGCAAGAUAGCAUUUUGACGCAUUGGCAAUAAAGCCUUAUUGAAUGAUGAGCAAUAACAACUCGAAAUUGAGGGAUCAUUUCUCAUGACAUUUCUGCAUUCGUCCAAAUGUCAUUCAUACAUGUCUAGAUAGGAGCAUUUGAUUCAUUCUGAUCAUGUCAUCCUAAUCACUAGGCAAAAUUAGGUUCAUAAAAUUGAAUAUACAAGUCAUGUUCCCCAAAGAACAGAUCAAUGAAGUUGCAAAUCUUGCCUUCCUGUAUUGGCAGUAAAGCAGAUCGGAAGCACUAGUCUUAUCUCCCUAAGCAGUAGUAGAGCAGAUUGAAGUCACGAUGGCGAAUCUUACUUUUCAGGUGAUGCAAUGGAACAAAUUAAAGCCGCAAUGGUGAAUCUUGCUUCCUUGAGAAUACAGUUGAAAUGAUUGAAGCCACUACGGCGAAUCUUACUUCCCUGACGGUGCAGUGGAACAGAUUGAAGCCGCAACGGUGAAUCUUACUUCCCUGACAUUACAGUCAAAAAGAUUGAAGACACAACGGUGAAUCUUACUUCCCUGGUAGUGCAGUGGAACAGAUUGAAGCCGCAACGGCAAAUCUUGUUUCCCCGACAUUGCAGUCAAAAAGAUUGAAGCCACAACAGUGAAUCUUACUUCCCUGGCAGUGCAGUGGAACAGAUUGAAGCCGCAACGGUGAAUCUUGUUUCCCCGACAUUGCAGUCAAAAAGAUUGAAGCCACAAUGGUGAAUCUUACUUCCCUAGCAGUGCAGUGGAACAGAUUGAAGCCGCAACGGUGAAUCUUGUUUCUCCGACAUUGCAGUUGAAAAGAUUAAAGCUGCAACGGCGAAUCCUACUUCCCUGGCGGUGCAAUGGAACAGAUUGAAGCCACAAUGGUGAAUCUUGCUUCCCCGACAUUACAAUUAAAAAGAUUAAAGCUACAACAGCGAAUUUCACAUCCCUGAUGAACAAAUCGCAUCCGACCUUAUCCCCCUGAAGUUACAGUGGGGCAGGUUGAACAUGCCAAUCUUAUAUCUCUGAAGUUGCAAUAGAGCAAAUUGCAUCUAACCUCGUCCCCCUGAGGUUGCCGUAGAGCAGGUAUAAGAAAAACCAAAAUCUUGUCUCCCUGAAAUUGCUGCAAGGAAGUUUGAAGUUACAAGUCAGAACUCUCUGAAACGCAGUGGAGUGGGUUGAAGCACCAAGGCGCAGUGAACUGCAAUGAAGUUGCUUGAAAAAGUGAAACACCAGAAGAAGUCGAGAAUCAACGAGACCAGGCAAAACCGAUCUUUCUUAGUUUUUUCUCUGUUCUCGUUACACGACAACGAGCAAAGAAGGGCAGCUAUACAACCCAUUUUGCCCGGCCCAUUACAAACCCACUUAAAAUCUACCCCAAAGCCCAAAUUACACCCGGGGCCCAUUACAAAUUAAACCCCAAAUAGACCUAACCUUAUACCCCUAGCCCAGUCAAACCCAUACGACCCAAAUGACCCCAGACCCAGCAACGAGUCAAACUAGGGUUUCAGAGACUGAAACCCUAGUGCCGCCGCACCUGUCGCGUCAACAGUAAGUGGCCACCGACCCACCGCUCGCCCACUUGCCCACGCCAUUGAGUACCUGCAAAACAAUAAAAGAGCAAGUAGAUAGAAAAGAAUAGGGGGCUAUAAAAGCUGAACUGUAAUGACCCAAAAUUCACGGGCAUCGGAAAAGUAUAAUAUCGGGCCUCCGUCUUAGUAAAUUGUGUUCGAAAAUAAUUAUUAGAAAUAUUUACUAGACUAGUUAUGUGUUUAAUUAGGUUUUAAAUAGGUGAAUUUUAGUUUAAUUAAGAGUAAUUAGGAAAAGGGUCAAAUUGAAUAAAGAAUGAAAGCCUAAUUAUAGAUUAAAAGAAAGUAAAAAGGGCUAAAAUGGCAAUUAAGCCAUUUAUAUGAGAUGAGGGCAUAUAAGCAUUAAAAUCUAAGAUUUUAUUUGAGUUAUACAUAAAUAUUAUAUAUAUUUAUAAUAAUUAUUAACCAUUAUUAUGGUUUUAUAUUAUUAUUAUUAUUAUUAUUAUUAUUAUUAUUAUUAUUAUUAUCAUCAUUAAUAAAUAAAGUAAAUAGUAGACAAAUGGAUGGUGAUAAAAUAAUAGAUGUGUAAUUAAAAUAUAUAUAUUAGUAGUUUGUAGAUUUAAUUUGCUUAUUAAUUAAGUAUAAGAUAUUUAUUAUUUAUUAUUAGUUAUUAGUUAUUAUUAAAUUAAAACAUAUUUAAUAAUUAAAUAAUUAGUAUAAGAUUUUUGGGUAAUAAUAAAUUAUGAUUUUGCCAAGUGUGUGGUAAAAAUAAAAUACAAGUGUAUUACAUUUAUUUAUUUACUUAUAAUUUAAGUAAAAGAUAUUAAUUAAUUAAAUAAUUAUAUUAUGAGAUUUUUAUUUGAUAAACAAAUUAAAUAGUGACAAUUGUAUGGUAUUAAUAGUGUACAAAUGUGAAUAUAUGAUUAAGUAUUUAAUAGAUAUUUAGGAUAAAACAUAUUAUAUUAUUAUAACAUAAAGUAAAUAAAAUAAAAUAAAGUAAAUGAGUUAUAAAAGAAAUAAAGAACAAAAAAAAAAAGGAAAGAAAGAAGAAACAGAGAGCAUUCGAAAACAGGGGAAAGAAAGAAGAAAAAGAAAGAAAAAGGGAAAAUAUGGUUUUUAAAGCUUGAAGUUUAAUUUGGUAAGUCAAUUAAGCCAUUUUCUUUUAAUUUUGAUGUUUUAGAAGCUUUAGAGUAGAGUUUGAUGAAAUUAAGUUGAGGUUUUUGGAAGUUUAUAGGUUAUUACGUAUGGUUCAUGUGGAAUAAAUUGUUGAAUUAGGGAUUUAAUUGAAUGGAUUUUAAGUUAGAAUUAAUAAAGGGAUUAAAUUGUAAAAGAAACUAUAAGUUUUAUGUUUUAGGGACUAAAUUUAGAUAAAUUCGAAAUUAGGAAAAUAUGCUGAAAUUUUAAUAGUUAAAUUUGAGUUUGGAUGAAAUUUGAAUAGAAAUAGAGUGUGAAUUGAAUUAGGAAAGUAAGUAAACUUAGUUAGGAUUAAAUUGGAAUUAGGGUACAAAUUUGAUAAAAAUUCAAUUAUUAUUAUUAAUUAGUGCUGUAAUUAAUAGUGUAAAUUAUCAUUAUUUUCGUAGCUAACAAAGAACUCGAGGCAUCGGCAUCAAAAGGAAAGGAGAAAGCUAUCGAGGACUAAAACGGGAGAAUUACGGUUUGUAUUACUAUAAUUCAAGUUAUUUAUUAUUAAAUGUUAAAUUUUAAUUUAUGUGUUUGGUAAAUGAAAUGUGAGGUAAGUAUUAUUAUUAUUAUUAUUAUUAUUAUUAUUAUUAUUAUUAUUAUUGUUGUUGUUGUUGUUGUUGUUAUUGUUAUUAAAAUGAGUGGGAAUUAAAUUGAAUAGUUGAUAUGAAUCAAUACUUGAAUUCUUUGUUGAUUGAAAGCGGGAAGUGAAUUUGAAUCGAAUAGUGACUGAUAUUAAAUUGAAUGGAAAUGUAUUGAGUUGUGAAAAUGUGUGAAUUGUGGAUUAAUUAUUGAUUGAAAGGUGGAAAAAUGAUUGAAUUGAAAAUGUGAGAAGUUGUGAUUGAAUUGGGACUAUAUGUGACUUAAAUACCCUAUUAACUAGUCGGGCUGAGUCGGAUAUAGUUGGCAUGCCAUAGGAUUGGAAGAGUUCAGGGAUACUUCGACCUCGAAUCGAUGAGACACUGGGUGUCACUAUAUUUCUUCGAAUAGAUUCGAUGAGGUAUUGGGUACCAACUUUCUUCGGCUUUGCCGAUGAGACACUGGGUGUCAACUUUGCUUCGAACCAUCCGAUGAGGCACUGGGUGCCAUUCUGGUGUGUUUGGUUGGAUCCGUGUAUCCGCCAAAGUCCGAGUUUUGUUAAUAGGGUAAAUGAUGAAAUGAUAAAUCGAACGAGUUGAUCAAGCGAGCUAUUAAAAUGAAAUGAAAAAGUUGAAUUGUGAAUUGAAGUGUGAUAUGAGAUUGAGAAAUGAACCUAAACUUCAUGAUAUGUCCAAAUUCAAAUUGUGGAUGUAUGAUUAUCAAUUGAUGAAUUGUUAUUGUUGAAAUAUGGAAUUUAAAUUUAAAUUUGUAUAUAUGAUUUAUGCCUUAUGUCGAAACCAUUUUUUUGAAAACAAAAAUUUAGUUAUCGACUUUAAAAAUAAAACUGGGUCGAAACCAUUUUUUUGAAAACAAAAAUUUAGUUAUCGACUUUAAAAAUAAAACUGGAGUCGCCACCGAUCCGUGAUUUAGGUGUGAUCGGCUCACCUUAAAAACAAAUUUGGUCUACGAAAUUUGAGAAAACAGGUUCGGGAGUCAAUUACGCACGAGGAAGGGUUAGCACCCUCGUAACGCCCAAAAAUCGGUACCGAAUUUAAUUAUUUAAUGUCUUGGUGUCGAAAAUUAAAAAGAUUUUGUUAAACUCAAAUGUUGAAAUCUGAAAAGGAUAAUCAAUUAUUCAAGUCAUACGAAGAAAUUGAGACCCAAUACGUUAGGGUACAAUUUCUCAAAAUCCCCGAAUUUUGAAUAUCACUUUUGCUUUAUAAGUAAAUUUUUCAUUUCGAGGAAGCAAUUAUGUCAUGCCUAAUACGUUAGGACAUAACAAAAUUAAGUUCCCAAAAAUGAUUUUUACUUAUAUAUUUUAAAUAAAAAAUAUUCUCGGUUAUUUGGAAUUAAUAAAGAAAAUCGGAACCCAAUACGUUAGGGCUCAAUUCUCCUCGAAAAUCCCUAACCUUGAAUAUCGUUUUUAUUUUUAAAACCUUUGAAUCAUAAAAAAUGAUUUUAAUGUUUUGAUAAAAUCAAAAUAUAUUUUUAAAAAUAUAUUAAAAAUGUUAAUGCAAUAUAAAACAAAUAUUUUAAUUCAAAUUAUGGGUAUUCAUAAGUAUGAUAUACAAACAAUUUUAGCAAACAUGUAUAAGGAUGUUGAAAAAAAUGUGUAAGUCAUAGAAAUAAAAACAACGAUAAAAAACAUAUAAAUAUAUUAAUAAAUUUUUAAAAAAAUAUAUAAGUAUAAUGUAUUAGUAAAUAUAAAAACAUGGAAAAUAUUUAUAAUAGCCUUGAAAAGAAUGCAAAAAUAUAUGUACACGUUAUAAAAAUAUAUAAACAUAUGAAUUAUAAAACCUGAAAGUAUAAAUAUUAUUAUAAAAAAAUAUGAAUGUAUAUAUAACACAUAUAAACUAUAAAAAUAAAAUGAUAUGAUAAUAAAACAUAUAUACGUACUGCCUAUAUAUUUGAAACAUUGAAAAUAUACAUAUAUAUAUUAACAUAUAUAUAUACGCGCACAUAUAUACAUACAAUAAUGAUAAUAUAGUAAUAAUUACACUAAUAAACAAUAUAAACAACAUAAAAAAACAAAUUAAGGACUAAAUUAAAAAGACAAACAAAAUUUGAGAGCUGAAUUUGAAAACAAAAAUAAGAAAGGGAGUAAUUUAAAUAUACGCAACCAGGGGAAGGACCAAAAAACAAUUUACCCAAACCACCCAAAGCAUUGCGCAAUAUUGGACCAAUUUGAAACAAAAAAUAAAAUGUGCAGUAAAAUUUAAAAAAAGUAAUAAAUUUAAUUUAAAACACAUUGUAAAAUAGGAAGGACCAAGGAGAUAAAUAUCCCCUCUAUUGGAAACGCGCGGAUCCAAAUGGGUUUAUGGGUCGGGUCGCACGAGUCACUAAUACGGCGCCGUUUUGAUAGUAUAUUAAAACUAAAAUUUUCCUUAAAAAAUUUCAUUUUCUGUUUUAAAACAAAAGAAGAGAAAAAAGGGGGGUUUGCUCUGCUAGGGUUUCGACCCUAGCACCCCCCCACGUAGCCGCCGUCAAAGAUCCACCGCCGCUAGGCCGUCCCUUGGCCUCCGACGACGCUCCGGCGACACCAGGUAAGCCUUUUUUCUCUCCCUCUUCGUUUAUUUUUGUUUUAAGAAGCAAAAGAAAAAAACAAACGAAAAGAACAGUAAAAACAACAGAGGAAAAGAAACCAGAUCUGUCACCUUCAAAAAUGUUUUUUUCCGGCUCUUUACUCGUAUUUUUUUAAUAUUUCAAUACACUAUUUUGCUAACCCCUGUUACAUAUUUCUAUUUGGCUUUAAUAGCCGAAAUAAGGGAAUCAAAAACUCCCAAAAACUACUCUCUCUUUUUUACAUUUUUUCCCUUAUAUUUUCUGCCAUUAUCUCUGUUCUUGGUCGUGAUUUGUUGCAGGUGUGGGCGUUGGAGAACGUGGGUUGUGCGAGGGCAACAUGCUGUGACAGAGGCGAUAACCGCUGAAGGAAGAACGUGUGCGGCACUGGGAAGGCUACUUGUUGCUGCAGCACUGAUACGAAGAGGGUUCCUUGAUGGGUUUAUAUGGCUAGGUUAAAUUUGGUUUUAGGCUAAUGACUUGGGUUACAAUUUGGGCUUGUAACAUUUGUAAUUGGGCCACGUAAAUUAAGUUUUUAAAUGGACUAAGCACCUUUGUUUAUUUAGGCCCGGGCUAAAAUUGGGUAUUACACCUUAUAUGUUUAUUAUUGUUAUAAUUUGAAUUAUGGUAAUACCACUGAGUAUGAAAUACUCAGCGUACGGUUGUUUCCGUGCGCAGAUUGAUAGAAGUCAAGAAUUUCGGUUCAGCAUCCAAAUCAAUCCCGACUUCAGCAUAACUUUGGUGAUGUAUAUUUUCUUUUGGUAAUGUGGAAUGUACAUAGGGUGUGUAUAAAUGUUAUUAUGUUUUAAUAUAAAUGGUUAGAAAUGUUAGUAUUACAAGUUUAUGAAUUAUAAUGAAAGAAGUUUAUCUAUUUUUAUUUAAUUAGUACAUUGUUGAUUGAGUUGAUUAGAAGGUAUUAGAAUAGAAAAUGAGAAUGUGACAUGAAUUGGUUGAUUGAUUAUAUUUGAAAAUGAUUUGAUUUUUAAUUGCAGGGGGUUUUAUAUAAAAAUAAGCAGAAGUGCUGCCAAAAUUUUUAUAAAAAUAAAAAAAAAUAAUUAAAAACGAAUGAAGUCAAUUAGAUAAAAUAUUAUAUGAUUUUAUGAUUUUAUCUUAAUAUGUUUGUUAUUUAUUUAAGAAUUAUUGUAACUAUCCUGAUAUGUCCGGUAAUGCCUCGUAACCCUGUUCCGGCGAUGGUUUUGGGUUAGGGGUGUUACACGAAAAAUCAAAGCUCCCCCUGAAAAGGCUUUCUUUACAACAUAUGGACCUUCCCAAUUUGGCAUCCAUUUUCCUCUAAAAUCUUUUUGUAUAGGGAGGAUCUUCUUCAACACUAGCUCCCCCUCACUAAAUUCUCAGGGACGAACCUUUUUGUUGUAGGCUCGUAUCAUCUGCUUUUGAUACAUCUGACCAUACCGAACUGCCUUUAGCCUUUUCCCUUCUAUUAAGUUCAAUUGAUCGUAACGAGAUUGAACCUAUUCUUACUCAUCUAAUUUCAACUCAGAUAAUACCCGGAGAGAAGGAAUCUCUAUUUCAAUAGGUAAAACGGCCUCCAUGCCAUAAACCAAAGAGAAAGGUGUUUCCCCAGUCGACGUCCUGACAAACAUUCUAUAAGCAAAGAGAGCGAACGAUAAUUUCUCAUGCCAAUCCCUGUAAGUCUCGGUCAUCUUUUCCACAAUUUUCUUGAUAUUCUUAUUGGCUGCUUCUACUGCACCAUUCAUCUUUGGGCGGUAUGGCGACGAGUUAUGAUGUCUGAUCCCGAAUUGACUGCAGACCUCCGCUAUUGCACUAUUGUUCAAAUUCAGUGCAUUAUCAGAUAUGAUCCUCUCAGGCAUUCCAUAUCGACAUAUGAUUUCCUUUUUCAAGAAUCUGCUAACUGCUGACUUCGUGACAUUUGCAUAUGAAGCAACUUCCACCCAUUUGGUAAAGUAGUCAAUGACCACAAAGAUGAAGCGAUGCCCGUUUGAAGCCUUUGGCGAUAUUGGCCCAAUGACGUCUAUACCCCACAUAGAGAAAGGCCAUGGAGAAGUCAUAACAUGAAUAGGUGAAGAAGGUGCAUGUAUUUUAUCGCCAUAAAUUUGGCAUUUAUGGCACUUCUUAGCAUAACUGAUGCAAUCCCUUUCCAAAGUAGACCAAUAAUACCCAAAUCUCAUGAUCUGCCUGGCCAUUGUGAAACCAUUUGCAUGUGUUCCACAGAUACCCUCAUGGACUUCUUCUAGAAUUUUCCUAGCUUCCACUGCGUCCACACAUCUUAGCAGUACUUGAUCCUUCCCUUUUUUGUACAGGAUUUCUCCAUCUAAAACAUAGUCAAUAGCCAAUCUUCUCAGUGCUCUCUUAUCAUUCUCUGUUGCUUGAUCUGGAUACUCACGAUUCUUUACAUAUCACAAGAUAUUCAAAUACCAGGGAUGGUCAUACUUUUCCUCUUCCUCAACAUUAUAACAAUGAGUCGGGGUUUCAGAAAUACACAUCUGAAUAGGCUUCAUAUCCUCUAACCUAUUCACUCGGAUCAUAGAGGCUAAGGUAGCCAAUGCAUCAGCCAUCUGAUUCUCAUCUCGUGGAAGAUAACAAAAAGUAAUGUCAUCAAACUCGUCUAUCAAUUUAAGAACCAUCUUUCGAUAAUUGAUCAGUUUAGGGUCUCUCCCAUUCUCCUUUGAGUUGGUAUAUCACCAAUGCGGAAUCCCCAUAUACUUCUAACACUAUGAUUUUACGCUCGAUAGCUACACGAAUGCCCAUAAUGCAUGCUUCAUAUUCUGCCAUAUUGUUAGUGCAAUCAAAAUCCAGUUUGCUAGCAAAAGGAUAAUGAUCUCCGCUUGGAGAUAUCAGAAUUGUCCAAAUUCCAUUACCUACAGUAUUUGAGGCUCCAUCAAAAUUUAACUUCCACACCUGAUCCGUUUGGGGAUUUUCUUCAGUGGUUUCCACGUACAUCAAAUCCUCAUUUGGUAAAUCAAAGUUCAAAGGCUCAUAAUCCACCAGGGCUCUGGUAGCUAAAAUGUCAGAAAUUGCGCUCCUUUUCACAGCCUUCUGACUCACAUAUACUAUGUCAAAUUCAGAGAGCAAAAUCUGCCAUCUAGCCAUCCUCCCAUUCAAAGCAAUCGACUCCAUCAUAUACUUUAAACGGUCUAACUUUGAAAUCAGCCAAGUUGUAUGAUACAACAUAUAUUGCCGUAAUCUUCAAGUUGUCCAAACUAGAGCACAACACAACUUCUCAAUAGCCGAAUAUCUCGCUUCACAUUCAGUGAACUUCUUACUAAGAUAGUAUAUUGCCCUUUCUUUUCUCCCUGUCUCAUCAUGUUGGCCUAACACGCACCCCAUGGAAUUUUCAAAUACUGUUAAAUACAAUAUUAAUGGCCUAUUCGGAUUAGGUGGUGAUAGCACUGGAGGAUUAGACAAAUAUUGUUUUAUUUUGUCAAAAGCCUUCUGGAAUUCUUCAUCCCAUACGCCUGGAUUAUGCUUCUUUAGAAGAUGGAAUAUGGGACCACAUUUCUCAGUUAGUUGUGAAAUAAACCGAGAAAUAUAAUUCAGUCUUCCCAAAAAACCCCGUACUUCCUUCUGUGUGUGUGGUGGAGACAAAUCUCGUAUUGCCCUGACUUUGUCUGGAUCAAAUUUAAUUCCUUUCCCACUGCCUAUGAACCCCAACAACUUCCCCGAUCUAGCCCCAAAGGUGCACUUUGUUGGAUUAAGCUUGAGCUGGAAAUUUCUUAGUCUCAAAAAUAAUUUCCGCAGAACUUGAACAUGCUCCUCUUCCGUUCUGGAUUUCGGAAUCAUAUCGUCAACAUAAACCUCAAUCUCCUUAUGCAUCAUGUCAUGAAACAAAGUUACCAUAGCUCUUUGAUAAGUCGCCCCCGCAUUCUUUAAUCCAAAGGGCAUCACUUUAUAACAGAACGUUCCCCAUAAAGUGAUAAAUGUGGUCUUUCUCAUGUCUUCUGGAUGCAUCUUUAUUUGAUUAUAUCCAGAAAAACCGUCCAUGAAAGAAAACAAUGAAUAGCCUGCAGUAUUAUCUACCAAAGUAUCAAUGUGAGGUAACGAAAAAUUAUCUUUUGGACUGGCCCUGUUUAAAUCCCUGUAAUCCACACACAUUCGCACCUUCCCAUCUUUCUUAGGGACAGGGACAACAUUAGCUACCCAUUCUGAAUACUUAACUUCUUGCAAGAACCCAGCAUCAAACUGCUUCUUGACUUCUUCUUUUAUCUUUAACACAAUGUCAGGCCUCAUUCUUCUAAGCUUCUGCUAAACUGGCUUGCAAUCCUCUUUUAUGGGAAGACGGUGCACUACAAUAUCAGUGCUUAACACAGGCAUAUCUUGAUAUGAUCAUGCGAAUACAUCCUUGAAUCCACGGAGUAAUUCAAUGAGGUCUUGCCUUGUCUUGGCGGAAAUGUCAGUUCCGAUAUUUACCUCUUUUCCCUCCUCUAGACUCACAAUCUCCAAUGAUUCUUUCUGAGGUAAGAUUUGAUUAUCUUCCUGUUCUACCAUUCUCAAUAAGUCCGGAGAUACAUCACAGUCUACGUCAUCUUCAAAAUCCUGUGAUCCCUCUAAACACAUGUCUUGUUCAAAAGGUGAUUCUGAGUCUGAAGCAGCAUCAUUCAUAUCAUUGAUAUGAUAGGUGCCAAAGAAUAUACAAAGAACGUAUGAAUUUAUGAACAAAAUAUGAUUAUGCAAUGAAUAAAAGAAUGAUGUAGAAAAAGAAUAAUUACUCGAAAAAAGAAUAAAAGAAUGCUGGCUCAAAAAUGCAUACGAAAAAGUGUAUUUAUUGAAACUAUGGUAUUCAAUAUGUGCAUAAUCCAUAAAGAAAUUAUAUUUUAAGUCAAAAACAACAAGGAUGUUCUGCAUAUUUACUCUGAACAAGCUCUAAAAACUACAGGAAUCUCUUCCGCAGUCCAAUUAUUCAGAUCACUUCCAGGCUCGUAAGGGCGAAUCUCUAACCAAGUCUCUCUUUCAAUUGGGUCUAGGGCAUUGAUGUGGACAUCUCCCAGCAAUUCUUCAAUACCUUUCACUUUAAGUACUUUUCGUUUCGGAUGAAUAAACCCUCCUGAUACGAAAGUCUUGGAUAUGUGAGGAAAAGCCAUAGGCUCCCACCUAACUUCAUUUCCACUCAGGUGUGCCCUUCUUCUCUCCUGUCUUUUCUCUAUUUCAUUUCUUCUUUGUUUUACAUCUGGUCUAUCGCCCAGACCAAAACGAUCAAACUUUUCUUUCAUCACUGGUGCUUCAACUCCUCCUUGUAAAUAUCUUCCCAAUCCUUUUCCCGGUACAGCUCCUUUUCCCACCAUUAAUUGAAGGCUCAUUCUUGUAGUCCUGGAUAUCUUUGGUACUGGAAUUCUAUUCCCCUCAGCAAUAAAUGUUGCAUUUACGAAUUCUAAAGUCUGGAAAGAACAUUCCACCGCCUCCCCAUCCGUCUCCACGUAUGGCGUAUUGCUGGUUAUUGAUGCAAUAAUACCUUCCUCGGCAUUUAUUGUCACUAACCGUCCUUCUGACACUAAUUUUAACUUCUGAUGUAGAGAAAAAGGCACAGCCCCUGCCGAAUGUAUCCAAGGUCUCCCCAAUAAAUAGUUAUAUGAAGGCUUGAUAUCCAUUACAAUGAAAUCUACUUCAUAAGUAUUUGGUCCAAUCAGUAAUGGUAUCUCAAUGCUCCCCAGAACUUUCUUUUCUGUUCCAUCGAAUGCCCUCACCACAUUUUGACACGUUUUCAUAUGUGAGCUAUCCACAGGUAGUCUUUUGAGAGUAGAUAAGGGCAGUACAUUCAAUGCAGACCCAUUAUCAAUUAAAACCCCUGAGACCAUGCUUCCUUUACACCGAGCAGUAAUGUGCAGAGCUUUAGUGGACCCCAUACCUCCAGAUGGUAUUUCUUCAUCGUUAAAGAAGAUAAAAUUAUCAGCGCUUAUAUUGUUGACCAAAUGAUGCAAUUGGUUGACAGAAAUAUCACUUGCCACGUAUGCUUCAUUUAACGCCUUCAUCAGCGUAUUUCGAUGCACUUCUGAACUCAUGAGCAAGGCCAACACAGAUAUACGAGCUGGCUAUUUAUGCAGCUGCUCUACCACGCUAUACUCACUGUGCUUCAAAAAUCUCAAGAUUUCAGUAACUUCUUCCUCCUUUAUUGGCUCAUUAAUCAAUGACCUUAAUUCAACCCUCUUCUCUUCCUUUUGCUCUGCUGCAAUGACCUUUCCCUCUACCGAUUCUGCUUGAGCCUUUAUCCGACUGCAGUACUCCUCAGUAUUCGUAUAAGAACCUGUCUUUUUGUUUUCUUUCACAACACUAAUUGAAGUUUCCUUCCCCAAAAUUAUUACCUCGCAGUCAUAAUUCCAGGGGACCUUCCUGCUAUCCUUAUACGAAAACUUCGUCGGCUUUUGAAUAACAACCUUCGGUGUCACCUGUGCCCUAACUUCAGUAACCUUAGGGCGCGAAAUGAUAAUCACAGGAUGAUUAACCUUUGGAAUCUUCGUCUCUGACUCCGAUGCACAUAUACUUUCUUUUCCUUCUACCUCUUCAAAAAACUCUAUUUCUCCAUUAUCCAUCAUGCUUUGGAUCAGAGCUCUAAACUUCUCACAUCUUUGAAUUUCAUGUCUCAUCCCAUGAUGGAACUCACAAUAAUUUUGGGUCUUGCCACCCCCACUAAAUCUAAAACAAUUAACCCUCUUCCUACCAUUUCUUUCCACACCCUCUUCAAAGGGAUCUUUACCUCAGCAAUAUUCUCCUUAACCUUCUUCCUCGUACCUUCACCCACCAUGUUUACCCUAGCAUCAGCAUGAUUGGGUAAUGGAUUUUCUAUACCUGAUGAAUCAUCUACCUUGACAACGCCCAUCUUAAUGAGCUUCUCAACAAGCUUUUUAAAAGCAGUACAAUGCUCUAUAGAGUGCCCCGCAACUCCUGCAUGGUAAUCGCAUUGUGCAUUCGCGUCAUACCAUUUAAGAUAUGGAGGCUGUAAAGGAGUCAAAUAAAAUGGGGCAACAACGUGCGCGUUAAAUAAAUUCUGAUACAACUCUUUGUAUGGCAUAGGGAUAGGUGUGAACUGGGGCUCUCAGUAUUUGGCCUCACACCAGAUUCCUGCUUAGAUGAACCCUGUUGACCUGCCACUACCUUCCUGGGCGGAUUCACUGUAAUUGACUUGUUGUAUGUAUUCACGUUGUUCACCUUACUUUUUUUUCUUUGAGUUUUGCCUUCUGUUGUUCUUUCCAACAUUAAUCUUUCCGCUCGUUACAGCACUUUCAAUCAUCUCACCACUCAUGACUAUGUCAGCAAAAUUUUUCGUGGCACUACCUAACAUGUGUGUGAUGAAGGGGGCCUUCAGCGUAUUUACAAAGAGCACCGUCAUUUCUCUUUCAAGGAGCGUUGGUUGGACCUGCACUGCCGACUCCCUCCACCUUUGAACGUACUGUCUAAAACCUUCAUCCGACUUUUUCUCCAUGUUCUGCAAAGUAAUCCUAUCAGGAACCAUUUCCGCCACAUGACUGCACUAUUUCAUAAAAGCCUGUGCUAAAUCCCUCCAGGAGCUGAUCCUAGCACGGCUUAAUUGAUUAUACCAUUUAGACGCUGCCCCCGUGAGGCUAUCCUGAAAACAGUGUAUCAAUAACUGGUCAUUAUUGACAUACCCAGUCAUUCGCCUAUAAAACAUAGUAAUGUGGGCUUCAGGGCAAGUGGUCCCAUUAUACUUCUUGAAAUCUGGCAUUUUAAACUUGUAAGGGAGCACUAAAUCCGAUACCAAACUUAAAUCCUUAGCAUUAAUCCCAUGGCAUCUUUCAGUAGUUUCCAUCGCUUUGAAUUUCUCCUCAAUCCAGUUCCAUCUUUCUUCCAAUUGCUUUGGUAAUUCCUCUUUUGUUUUCUCUUUUUCAACUGUUUCAUCGAAAUCAGGAACAAUAGGAUUGGCAGGAUUAUUCUCAGGACUAGAGCCUGAUCCGACCUAGAAAUUCAUCGACCUUGAAGCAUCGGCUUGAAAUUGCUGAGGCCUAAUCGUAACAGAAGAUUUGCGCGGGUACACUUCUGCUUGGGAUAGCACACAUGGAGGAGUGAAGCCGGGAGGAUAUAGGAGUCCGUCAUCACCUUCCUCUUCAACAUUGGCCAUAGGGCCCUUUCCUUUAUCCUUUCCACCAAUCAAGAAUUGAGUUAACUGGGUCAUCAUGCUUCCUUGGGACUCCGCCAUUUUAUCCAUCAUUUUCUGCUGAAUCUUCUCGAACUGCUCCUGCAUUUGCUGCUGAAGUUGAUCCUGCAUUUCUUUCUAGAAUUGCUAAAGCUUUUCUAAUCUUUGAUCCAUACUUCUUAAUUUCACUCGUGUACCGUAAUGGUGCUGAGUUGGCUGAUUAGAUUCUAGGUUAACUGAGGAAUGAUUUUGAUUUAAUCAGAACCAUUUGAUAAUUUCAAUUACUUUCAGAAAAACUUUAUUAGAAAAUAAAUUUCUUUACAUAGAAUGGGCUACAAAUAUGGCUUUGCCCUAAUACUUAAGACCUUGAUCUUUUUAAGCAACGAAGCUAACUCUUGUCCUCGAUCUGACUCCAGCUCAUACUUUACGCUCAAUGUGUCGGCUUGUACUGCCAAAGUUUGCAAGUGAUCUACCACUUCUCGAAUCUGCACCACAGCUUCUCCCAUAACGCGAUCCCUAUUUCUGACUUGAUCUUGGAAAUAAUUAAGUUGCUCAUUCUGGCGACCUUCCUUUGCCUCUAGAUGCUCGAUCCGAACCUCACAACUUCGUAAUAUUGCUUCCAACUCUUCUAUUUUACCCUUCAUUUCUUCGAUCUUGCUCAGACUUGCUUUCAGCUCUAUUACAGAAUUUCGACUUCUGUGUUGACGGAGAGACCCUUCUAACUAACUACUCUGUCCUUUAGUUCUCAUUUUUCCUUUUGGCUCUCUGACAAGCUCCUUUCUAAUGCUUCAUUUCGUGCUUGAAUCUCUUGGAAUUUUCUUUCCCACCGGUCUGACCUGUUUCUUUCUUCUCGAAUUUCUUCAUGCCACUACUCUGAAGUUUUUCCAAGCCCUGCAGUUCUCAGCGACAGACGCAGCUUCUUAUAAUCCGUCUUCAAGCUGUCUAAUUCUUCUUCAGCCUUAUUCUUUCCCUUCCUUAGCUUAUCAGCCUCGAGCUUCUGAACAUCUGCAUCCAGUCUCAACUUCAUCUUUUCUUCCUCCAUCUAUUCGAUUUUCUUCUCCAGUUCUGCAUUUUUCCUUUCAAAGUCUUGCUUUAUGAUUUCCAGCUCAGAAGGGACAACCCGCAAGUGUUCUUCUAUCGACUGACUAUUUUCUGAACCCGACCUAGGAAUGUUAUCGUUAAUCCUCUUAGCCCACCAUUCACUAUACUCGGGAGUUAUCAUCGGGCCCAGAGCUAAUCCCUUUACUCGGCGAGUCUGAUUCCAUGCACUGACCAUCUCACGAACUCUCCUUUUGUAACCAUCACCUCUAUACGAGAAUUCACACUCGGCCAAUCCUUGAGUUACAGGCACGAACUGUCUUGACCUGUAUUGCCUUAGCACUAGCAAUGGUGCAUAACAAAAGGCUCCCCAAAUCCCAAUCAAAGGAACCCAAUCAAAAUCCCCACAUCGAUAUAGGAUUUCGUCUGGAAGCAAUCAUAGAGCUCUCCACUCGAUAUCCCCCUCCUGUAAAUUCUAAAAAAUAGCCAUCCAUUUCUCUUCCGAGAUGUCAUCCCUCCUCGGUGUAGCCACUACCUCUUUCAAUGGUUAAUAAUUUUCAGAGAAGACCCGAUACAAAACCUUAUCGACCUUCCAAAAGUGACUAUGGAACCACGCAAGUAAGAGCUGCGCACAUCCAAUGAAUCUACCUUCUCCCGCUUGCCGACACGCAUUCAAUGACCGGAAAAUUUCUGCCAAAAUUGUCGAGACUGGUGUAACUCUCUUAUCAAGCCGAUCAAAUAAGUCAGUGAUCACCUCAUCAACAUGCCCCAAAGCCCUAGGGAACACUACCAAACCAUUUAUACUUAAAGCAAAGAUAUCUACCCUCUUUUUCGUGUCUGGGUGCGCCAGAAUGAGGUCCUUCAAAUUUUUCCAAGGAAUGCACUUGCUAUCCCCCUUUUGCUUGAUCCGAGCUGUAACCCACUGCUCACUCAUCCCGGUUAUACUCACCAACCUCUUCAAAAAUGUCGGUGCAUUUACAGCUUUCGAGUAAACCUUGUCCACUUGAAUCCUCGAACAUCGAAGUAAAGUUGUGUACUCUUCUAUUGUAGGCACCAAAUCAAUCCUCCCAAACGUGAAGCAACUAUAAGCGGGGUUCCAAAAUUGUGCGAGGGCCCGAAAAAGACGCUUAUCCACCUUCAUAUCAAGCAAAUAAGGCAAAUCCCCAUAAUUUGACUAAAAUAACUGUCUAACCUCAUUAUUCCACUGAUCCCAAAUCUCUUUCAACUCCUGCAAGUUGUUCUGGAUUGCACUAACACGGGUGAAGUCCCAUAAUUCUGAUAUGUACCCCUCGGCCAAGCUAUCACCUUUUCUGCGCUGUGUGAUUUCAGCCCAAGUUCGAAUAGCCGUAUUAUCCUCCACUCUAUCAAGAAACCCAUUUCUCAUGAUAAGCUUUCUAUCUAGCAAUCGUAUACGAACCAACGCCUUUUAAAAUGAAAUGCCAUGUGAUGGUAAUGCCAUACAAUCAGAGUAAAACAUAUAAAAGUCAGUAGCAAUUAAAUUAAUACAACCAAGAAAUAGUAAAAAAAACUCCUAAUUAGGCAUCUACUAAGGUUAAGAGUAAUUCUACCUAGGGUGAGUUCCUAUGGUCUAGGACAAGGGUACCCAAACCAGCAGAUUCCUCGAUCCUCACCCAUUAUAGCCUCAUAUAGACCGAGUUCGAUUCAGGGGAAUACAUUUCCCUAUGACUAUGCGGAGAUGUAGGUCUCACGAAGGCAUAGGUACGGAUGUAUCCCGAAAGUGAUCCAUUAUCCUAUACGGAGGUGAAAACCUCACGAAGGACCAGCUUCUCACUCCCACUUAAAGGGGUAAAAAUUACUAACAUUAUGAGAUGCAAAAUGCAAAUAAGAUAACAGACAUAAGCCAAACAAGCAAACAAUGAAAAUCAACGAAUGCAAAGGGAAAUUAUGAUUUAAAAAAAACUUUAAUUUUCGACAAAAAAGACACCAAAUAAUCAAUUUAUGGCUCGACUCUCGAGGUCCCCAGCGGAGUCGCCAAGCUGUCGAAACCAUUUUUUUGAAAACAAAAAUUUAGUUAUCGACUUUAAAAAUAAAACUGGAGUCGCCACCGAUCCGUGAUUUAGGUGUGAUCGGCUCACCUUAAAAACAAAUUUGGUCUACGAAAUUUGAGAAAACAGGUUCGGGAGUCAGUUACGCACGAGGAAGGGUUAGCACCCUCGUAACGCCCAAAAAUCGGUACCGAAUUUAAUUAUUUAAUGUCUUGGUGUCGAAAAUUAAAAAGAUUUUGUUAAACUCAAAUGUUGAAAUCUGAAAAGGAUAAUCAAUUAUUCAAGUCAUACGAAGAAAUUGAGACCCAAUACGUUAGGGUACAAUUUCUCAAAAUCCCCGAAUUUUGAAUAUCACUUUUGCUUUAUAAGUAAAUUUUUCAUUUCGAGGAAGCAAUUAUGUCAUGCCCAAUACGUUAGGACAUAACAAAUUAAGUUCCCAAAAAUGAUUUUUACUUAUAUAUUUUAAAUAAAAAGUAUUCUCGGUUAUUUGGAAUCAAUAAAGAAAAUCGGAACCCAAUACGUUAGGGCUCAAUUCUCCUCGAAAAUCCCUAACCUUGAAUAUCGUUUUUAUUUUUAAAACCUUUGAAUCAUAAAAAAUGAUUUUAAUGUUUUGACAAAAUCAAAAUAUAUUUUCAAAAAUAUAUUAAAAAUGUUAAUGCAAUAUAAAACAAAUAUUUUAAUUCAAAUUAUGGGUAUUCAUAAGUAUGAUAUACAAACAAUUUUAGCAAACAUGUAUAAGGAUGUAAAAAAAAAAUGUGUAAGUCAUAGAAAUAAAAACAAUGAUAAAAAACAUAUAAAAUAUAUUAAUAUAUUUUAAAAAAAUAUAUAUAAGUAUAAUGUAUUAGUAAAUAUAAAAACAUGGAAAAUAUUUAUAAUAGCCUUGAAAAGAAUGCAAAAAUAUAUGUACACGUUAUAAAAAUAUAUAAACAUAUGAAUUAUAAAACCUGAAAGUAUAAAUAUUAUUAUAAAAAAAUAUGAAUGUAUAUAAAACACAUAUAAACUAUAAAAUAAAAUGAUAUGAUAAUAAAACAUAUAUACGUACUGCCUAUAUAUUUGAAACAUUGAAAAUAUACAUAUAUAUAUAUAUUAACAUAUAUAUAUACGCGCACAUAUAUACAUACAAUAAUGAUAAUAUAGUAAUAAUUACACUAAUAAACAAUAUAAACAACAUAAAAAAACAAAUUAAGGACUAAAUUAAAAAGACAAACAAAAUUUGAGAGCUGAAUUUGAAAACAAAAUAAGAAAGGGAGUAAUUUAAAUAUACGCAACCAGGGGAAGGACCAAAAAACAAUUUACCCAAACCACCCAAAGCAUUACGCAAUAUUGGACCAAUUUGAAACAAAAAAUAAAAUGUGCAGUAAAAAUUAAAAUAAGUAAUAAAUUUAAUUUAAAACACAUUGUAAAAUAGGAAGGACCAAGGAGAUAAAUAUCCCCUCCACUGGAAACGCGCGGAUCCAAAUGGGUUUAUGGGUCAGGUCGCACGAGCCACUAAUACGGCGCCAUUUUGAUAGUAUAUUAAAACUAAAAUUUUCCUUAAAAAAAAUUUCAUUUUCUGUUUUAAAACAAAAGAAGAGAAAAAAGGGGGGUUUGCUCUGCUAGGGUUUCGACCCUAGCACCCCCCACGUCGCCGCCAUCAAAGAUCCACCGCCGCUAGGCCGUCCCUUGGCCUCCGACGACGCUCCGGCGACACCAGGUAAGCCUCUUUUCUCUCCCUCUUCGUUUAUUUUUGUUUUAAGAAGCAAAAGAAAAAAACAAACAAAAAGAACAGUAAAAAGAACAGAGGAAAAGAAACCAGAUCUAUCACCUUCAAAAAUGUUUUUUCCGACUCUUUACUCGUAUUUUUUUAAUAUUUCAAUACACUAUUUUGCUAACCCCUGUUACAUAUUUCUAUUUGGCUUUAAUAGCCGAAAUAAGAGAAUCAAAAACUCCCAAAAACUACUUUCUCUUUUUUACAUUUUUUUCCCUUAUAUUUUCUUCCAUUAUCUCUAUUCUUGGUCGUGAUUUGUUGCAGGUGUGGGCGUUGGAGAACGUGGGUUGUGUGAGGGCAACGUGAUGUGACAGAGGCGAUAACUGCUGGAGGAAGAACGUGUGCGGCACUGGGAAGGCUACUUGCUGCUGCAGCACUGAUACGAAGAGGGUUCCUUGAUGGGUUUAUUGGGCUAGGUUAAAUUUGGUUUUAGGCUAAUGACUUGGGUUACAAUUUGGGCUUGUAACAUUUGUAAUUGGGCCACGUAAAUUAAGUUUUUAAAUGGACUGGGCACCUUUGUUUAUUUAGGCCCGGGCUAAAAUUGGGUAUUACACCUUAUAUGUUUAUUAUUGUUAUAAUUUGAAUUAUGGUAAUACCACUGAGUAUGAAAUACUCAGCGUACGGUUGUUUCCGUGCGCAGGUUGAUAGAAGUAAAGAAUUCCGGUUUAGCAUCCAAAUCAAUCCCGACUUCAGCAUAACUUUGGUGAUGUAUAUUUUCUUUUGGUAAUGUGGCAUGUACAUAGGGUGUGUAUAAAUGUUAUUAUGUUUUAAUAUAAAUGGUUAGAAAUGUUAGUAUUACAAGUUUAUGAAUUAUAAUGAAAGAAGUUUAUCUAUUUUUAUUUAAUUAGUACAUUGUUGAUUGAGUUGAUUAGAAGGUAUUAGAAUAGAAAAUGAGAAUGUGACAUGAAUUGGUUGAUUGAUUAUAUUUGAAAAUGAUUUGAUUUUUAAUUGCAGGGGGUUUUAUAUAAAAAUAAGCAGAAGUGCUGCCGAAAUUUUUAUAAAAAUAAAAAAAAUAAUUAAAAAUGAAUGAAGUCAAUUAGAUAAAAUAUUAUAUGAUUUUAUGAUUUUAUCUUAAUAUGUUUGUUAUUUAUUUAAGAAUUAUUGUAACUAUCUUGAUAUGUCCGGUAAUGCCUCGUAACCCUGUUUCGGCGAUGGUUUAGGGUUAGGGGUGUUACACGAACCCUGCUGUGAUUUUGGGGUUCUUCUCUAUUUUUUGUAAAAAAACGUUACUGAGAAAUACAAAAACAAAACAGAUUCAAGCAAGAAAAGAAACACAAGCAGAAAGGAAAAGCCAAGGUUUCUCUCUUUAAUUUUUUUUUUUCGAAACCAUCCACAAACAGACAAGUAUUUAUUUAUAUAAUACACAUACAUCUAUACAUAUAAAAAAAUAGAGUAAAAAAGAAGACGAGGAUACCUGCUUAUUAGAUCGCGUGAAAAGAGGAAUUCUUUUUAGACCUUUGGCCGCCGCAUACGGCGGUGCCAGCAUCGGCGACCGGCAGCCGGCGACUGGCCGGACGCCGUCCUGGCCCUCAGACCCCCUGCAGAGAAAAGAGCCCUUUUUUUUCUGAAAAUGAGAAAGAAAUGAUUUUUUUGAGAAAUUCUUGGCUUAAAUAGCCGAGCAAAACGACGCCGUUUUCGCCCCCAGGAUCCGAGUGUCGACCCGACCCGCAAGGGAGAAUCCGCGUGUUUUGUCAAAAGGGGAAAUUACGAUUCUGGCCCCUCCAUGUUCUAGCGUUUCGCGAUCAAAUUUCUUUUAUUUUUAAAAUUUUACCCUUUAAUUUAUUUUCGACUUCAACUUGAUCCUUGUGGGAUGAUGUCGUUUUAUAAGCGAGGGGUUAUUCUCCUCUUUAGUCCUUCGCCCUUUCGCGCCCUUCCGUUUUGGUCCUCCUUUGUGCAUUUUAAUAUAAUUUUAACCUUUAAAUUUUAUUUUUAUUCCAAAUUGGUCCAUUUUUUGUUAUUUCUGUUAUUUUAUUAACUAAUCCAGUUAUUAUUAUACUUAUUUUAUAGGUAUAUAUAUAUAUUGCUAUUACGUUAUUAUAUCUUACCAUUAGUUUUAUAUUAUAAUUUUUAUUUAUAUUUACUUAUUUAAAUUUUAAAUAAAAUUGUCUUAUUAUAUUACUAUUAUAAUUAUUUAUAUAUAUAUCAUUACUCCUAAUCAUGUACAUAUGUUUAUAUUUCCUUAUAUAUCUAUACUUCCUUAUAUGUAUUUUUAUAUAUGUUUUCUAUACCUUAUAUACACAUAUUUAUAUACAUAUUCUUAAUUUUCAUACAUAUACGUAAUUCUAUACUUUUUAUGCUCUUUAAUCUAUGUAUAUACAUGCCUAUUUAUUUAUGCACAUGUCUAUAUUUUCUUAAUAUAUAUACAAAUAUAAAUUUAUCCUUUUAUUACUUAUGUACAUAUUUACGGAUUUAUGUACCUUUCUAAUAUAUUGCAUUUUAUACCUUAUAUUAUUUAUAUACCUUUAUAUACAUAUAUAUCAUGUCUUAUAUAUAUCUUUUUAUACACCUUUUAAUUUUCAUAUACAUAUAUUUAUACCUUUAUAUAUACAUAUAUAUACGUAUACAUAUAUCUUUUUGUAUUUUUAUUACUUUCACUUAUUUAUCUAUUCAUUCAUAUUGUCAUUAUAUUAAAUGUUUCUUUCUUAUCUGCUUAUAUAUUCGUUAUUCGACAUGUUAUUAAUUCGCUUUUUUUCUUGUUUUUAUUACUUUUCGUAUUACGUUACAUUAUCGUAUAUAUUAUUGUUUCGCAUGCGUAUCCAAUGUAAUUUGUUUUCGCAUUUUUUUCAUCUUACUUUAUUCAAUAUAUCAAAACCUGUUUUUUUCGUAUUUCGAUAUUCGAAGAAUCGUACCCUAACUUACGGGGUUUCGAUUUUCUCGAUAAAUCUAAAUACGCGAAUCAUUUCAAACAAAGUUUUUAAAUGCACUUAGGAAUUAAAGAAAGAUCGUGUUCUAACUCAUGGGACAUGAUCUCUUUCCUAAACCCUAGAUAACCAAAUAUCUUUAAAAAAUAAAUAAAUUUCAGCAUUCAUUCGCGCAUCGAGAAUUCAAGACAUUGUGUCCUAACUUACGGGAUGUGAUUCUUUUUUCUCGAUCAACGUGAAUAUGCCCUUUUUUCUUUUCAAAUAGUUUUUGUAUUUCGAUAAAAGAUCGUAUUUUAAAUCUCUUCAAAGUUUUCAAUCUUUCGACACUAAGACAUUAAUUAAUCGACUAGGUACCAAAUUUGGGCGUUACGAGGGUGCUAAUCCUUCCUCGUAUGUAACCGACUCCCGAACCUGUUUUUCUAAAUUUCGUGGACCAAAAAUCGUUGUUUUAAUAAAAUCAAAUCGUUUAUUAAAACAACCACUUUUCAGGUGAUCCAAUCACACCUCAUCAAAAAUGAUUGGUGGCGACUCCCACAUUCGAUUUCAUUUUUUUAACAACCCAAGUCGACCCCGUUUUUAUCAAAAAAUGGUGUCAACAAUCGUAUUUUUAAUUAUUCAAAGUUUUCAAUUCUCGACAUCAAGACAUUAGCUAAUCAACUAGGUACCAAUUUUUGGGUGUUAUGAGGGUGCUAAUCCUUCCUCGUACGUAACCGACUCCCGAACCCGUUUUCUGAAUUUUGUGGACCAAAAUCGUUGUUUUAAUAAAAUCAAAUUGUUUAUUAAAAACAACUACUUUUCAAGGUGAUCCGAUCACACCUUAUCAAAAAGGAUUGGUGGCGACUCCCGUUUUCAUUUUCAUUUUCAAAAUCCAAGUCGACCCCGUUUCAUCAAAAAAUGGUGUCAACAGCUGGUUCUUCAAAUCAUGCAGAAAUAAUUGCAAUGCAUGAGGCAAGUUGAGAGUCUGUUUGGCUAAAGUUAUUAACCCAACGUAUCCAGAAGGUAUGUAAUUUGCCUUUACAGGAAAAGAUGCCAACUAUCUUAUACGAAGAUAAUGCAGCGUGUAUAGCUCAAUUGAAGGGUGGCUAUGUCAAAGGUGACAGAACGAAACAUAUUUCACCAAAAUUUUUCUUCACCCAUGAUCUUGAGAAAAGAGGUGAUAUAAAUGUUCAACAAAUUCGUUCUAGUGAGAAUUGAGCAGAUCUUUUUACUAAGGCAUUGCCAACUUCAACAUUUGAAAGACUACUACACAAGAUUGGAAUGCGUCGACUCAAAGAUGUAAUGUAAUGCUGCCAUCAGGCGGUGUUUAAAAAUAAGUUCUACUCUUUUCUUUUAAUUAAGGUUUUGUCCCAUUGAGUUUUCCUAGUAAAGGUUUUUAACGAGGCAGCUUGUAAUAGAAGAUUGUGUACUCUUUUUCCUUCAUUAGGUUUUUUAUCCCACAAGGUUUUUCCUAAUAAAGUUUUAACAAGGCAAAUUAUCUACCAAUGGACAUCCAAUGGGGAGUGUUAUGAAUAUCAUAUUAAGUGGAUGUCCAUCAUUAUAAAGAUAAAGUUUUGAUAUACUUUAAAUUCUAAUAGUUAUUAGAAUUAGAUAUCUAUUUCUUUUAUACUUCUUAUACCUAUAAAUAAAGACUCUAAUGAAGCAUUGUAAUCAUCCAUUUUGAUCAAUAAAGUUCAUUUUCUGUUGCUUUCAUAUUUUCUUUGUUCUUUAUUCUCUCCAUCUCUCUUUAUUUUAUAACAAGAAACAUAUUAUUUCUAUAAUUAUAUAGAUCUUUAUUUCUAAAAUUAAAAAAAUCAAUAAAAAUAUUUAAAAGUUUAUUCCUAAAAUUGAAAUUAAAAAAAAUAUUUUUUAUAAUUACGAAAAAGGAAUGAGGUUCCUUAGAAUUGAACCCAAGCUCUCAUACUUAAAACAUAAUACUCUUGUCAUUAAGCUAAAAGAUUAUUGGCAAUUAAAUUAAAAUUAUCUAUAUAAUAUAUAUUUUUACUUUUUUGAAUCAUCAAUUUUAUAUAUUAUAAUAAUUUUAUCUUUGAAUUUUUCUAUAAUUAAAUUAGAAAUCAUAUGCAUAAUAUUACAAAUAUAUUAUCUUUUAAAAACUUAAAUAUAUAUUUUAAGUUGUUUAUAUCUUUUAAAAAUUAUUUCAUUAAUAAUUUUAAUUAAUAUGUAGUUAUUUAAAUAAAAAUAAUUUUAUAAAACACAUGGGAUAGAAAAUUAAUUACUUAAAAAUAAAACAAUUCUAAUAAAAUGAGUUUAAAAACAAAAUUGAAUUCAACCAUGAGAUCAUCUUUGAUCUUUCUCCAACUCAUCUUUCUUAGAAAUAAGUGAUAUAGAAUAAAGUCGACAAAGAAUUUUAUAUAAGUUUUAUAUAUAAAAUUGGGAGGUCACUCUCAAAAUUUUCUUUUUCUCCCUAAACAAGUCGUCUUCUUAUGUUUUAUGUUUGGACUUUUAUGUUUGGACUAUCAAUAAUUUCUGUCAGACGACGUCAUUGAUAUUGAUCCAUGUUUGUUCUUAUAGGGACUUUGAUUAAAAAACUGAAAUUUUUAUCUUAUUCUAGAAAUAUUUGAAUAAAAAAAUCCUCCAAUUUUCUUCCUCUCCGCCUUAUUAUAAAUUACUUAUUGAUUAUUAGGAAAAAUGAGAUCUCACGAAAACUAGGAGAAAGGCCGAAUGCAAUGGAAAGAAUAGAAUUAGAUGAAGCAAUGCUACAAGGGCAAGCAGAGAUAUGGCGUUACCUGUACAGCUUCGCAGAUUCCAUGGCGCUUAAGUCUGCCGUGGAGCUCCGCAUAGCUGACAUAAUACACUCUAAUGGUGGCCCCGCCACUUUGUCGCAAAUAGCCUCAUGCAUUAAUGACAGCUUUACUUCGCCAAAUAUCACCGCCCUUGCUCGCAUAAUGAGAUUGCUUGUUCGCAAAAAGAUUUUCACUAUCCACCCUCCUUCAGACGGUGGAGAUCCCUUGUACGACUUAACUCACUCAUCGAGAUGGCUUCUAUAUGACUCGGAGCAAACCCUGGUGCCCAUGGUACUAAUGGAGAACCAUCCAUGGCAAAUGGCUCCUUGGCACUACUUCAGUCAGUGCGUGAGAGAAGGUGGCAUUGCCUUCAAGAAAGCUCAUGGGUGUGAGACAUGGGAUUUAGCAUCGAGGAAUCCUGAUUUCAACAAGCUUUUUAAUGAUGGCCUGGCUUGUACAUCCAAGUUCAUUACCAGUGCAAUCCUGUCAGGUUACAAACAAGGGUUCAACUCCAUUGGAUCGUUGGUUGAUGUAGGAGGUGGGACAGGAGGCUUAAUAUCAGAGAUCGUCAAAGUAUAUCCACACAUUAAAGGUGUUAACUUUGAUUUGCCGCAUGUUGUCUCUACGGCACCGGCAUACAAUGGGGUCUCCCAUAUUGGUGGUGACAUGUUUCAUGCCAUUCCAAAUACCGAUGCAAUCAUUAUGAAGGUACUUACUUAAAUCAUGAAUUUAAAUUUGUUUUUCAUGGAGAAUAGCAUCAAGAAAAUUUUUACAAAAAUUGUAACUGCAGAAACACGAUUAUUGUUUUUAUCUCUUGUAAUUGUGAGAGUGAAAAUACACAACUCAAGGUAUAAAAAUCAAAGUAGUCCAAUUCUAGUAAAAAUGCCAUAGAGAUUUUUGUAUAAUAGACUACAUAAUUUUUUAACUUUGUACCUUUAAAAAAGGCUUUACAUGAACAUUACCCUCAACACAAAUAAAAUUAAACUUAGACCAUAAAACAGUAAAAGAUUUUUAUAAUAAUUGAAAUGAUUUGUUAAUCUUAUAAGGUGAAGAUAAUUAAAAUCGUCUGCAUUUUUUUUGAAUAAUCUCAUUGUAGGUUCUGAUUAUAUCUGCUCUUGUUGAUAUAAUGCUUAGAAUUACCUACAACCCCUCCCCACCCAUAAAUAAGAGAAUAAUGCGCUUCAACUUACUUAAACCUACGUCCUCAUGCAUUGAUAAUAACCAGAAUGUUCUAUAAUUAAUUUAAAAUAUGACUAAGAUGUCAUAUUCGCAUAAGUUAUUGUAUGUCAUUUAGCUAUGAAAAAAAGCUUGAGAUAGGGCCCGCUUUUUUAAAGAAUUUUGAAAAAUAAAAUUUAUAAAAAUUGUAUAGGAUCAAGCUUAAAUUUUAAAUAAUUGUGAGUCAAUAUUUGAAUUAAUUUUUUUAAAUGGGAGAAUAUUUGAUGUAUUGUGAGUAUAUGAAUUUUAUUAAUAAUACAACAUAUCAUUAUUAAAUAAAAUAAAAAUAAUAAAAGGUCUAUAAAUAAAUAUUAAUAAUUUUAUUUAAAUAUAAUUAAAAGUAAAUAAUUAUAAAUAAAUGUUAAAAUCCUAAGCUCAGAACUCAAUUGUUAUUAGCAUUUAUUUAUAAUAAUUAUAAUUAAGUAAUAUUAAUUAUAUUUAAAUAAAAUUAUUAUUUAUAGUUCUUUCUAUUAUUUUUAUUUUAUUUAAUGAUAAAAUAUCAUAUUAUUUAUUGAUGAUGCAUGAGACUCAUGCAUUAACGGUAUAUUAAAUAUUAUUUAUUUUUUAAAAUACAAAUAAACAUGCAAAUCGACAACUUUAAAUAAAUAAUAUAAAAUUGAAAUAAUUAAUUAAUAAAAUAUAAUUAUUUUAAGGAAUAUUAAAAAAUAUAUAAUUUGUAAUUAAAUAAUAAAAUAACAUUUUUAAUAUUUUUCCUAAGCAACUAAAAAAUAAAUUCCAAAACUAGUAGUGAGUUACCAUCACCGAUGUCUUGAUUUAAAUACAUUUUUUUAAAUAAAAAAAUUAAUAGAAAUGUCGGAUUGAAUAUGAAUUUUAAAUUACAUGACACUUCAUCUCUCUAAAUUACAAAAUUUUAAAAUAAAAUAAUGUCUAAAAUAGUAUAUAAAUUGAAAGAAAAAAAUGUUAUUGGUGGAAUGCAGUUGACCGCUAUAACAACAUUUUACUAUAAUGUUCAAGUUUCCAUCAAAAUCGAUAAUUUCUAUAACAACAACAAUCACAGCUAGAAGAGCAUUUUUUAUUAAAUUAAUUUUUUAUAACAACAUAUUACUUAAAAUUUUAAGUAAAAUUAUAACUAUUUCAUAUAAAUAAGCUUAUUGAUUAUAAUUCAUUGAAUACAAAAGAUCUUAACUAAAUUAUUAUUUUAAUAAAAUGUUUAAAUUUCAGAUGAAAAAUUUAUUAAUCAUAUUUUAUUAAAUAAAAAUAAUAUUUAAUGAGUGGAAUUAAAUAUAUGAAUUCAAUAAACUAUUAAGUUUCCUAAUUAAUUAAAUAUUCUAAUAUUAAUUUGGAACAUCAUAAACUUAUAAAUCAAUUAGGUGAAUUUAAUAACUCAUGAUAAAUUAAUUAAUUUAAAUUGAUAGCUUAUAUUAAUUAAUUGAACUUGUUGAUUGAUGAACUUCAUAAUUAAUCAUGUGGAAGAAUAUAAAAUAAAAGAUGCAUAAAAAUAAUAAUGCAUGCAUUUGCUAUACAUCUUUUAAUUUUUGUUGAUUUGAUCCUCACUUUCCUUUUUAAAUAUAAUUCUCACUUUUUUUAUUUGAUAGAAAUUCAUUAUAUGAAUUCUAUUGUAGGUUUACAACAAUUAUCUUUUUAUAACAAUAUAUUAUAAGUAUAUAACAACCACCUCUUUGUAACAAACAAAACCUUGACGGAAAAAUAGGGUUGUUAUAGAGAAGGUUGAUUGUAGUAUAGAUAUAGAUAUGUUUGGUUCAAACUGAUGUUUAAACCAAUGAAUUUUGUUUAAACAAUGAGACAUUAUAAAUUUAUAGGGACAAAUUUCGAUUACUUGAAAGAUUUAAAUAAAGAAAAUAAUUUUGUUUAAUAAAAAAAAGUAACCAGACAUGACAGGGGGCCACAAGGUGAGGAAAGUUCCAUAAAAAAGGGAAAAAUAUAAUGCUAUAUCCAUAAGGGUUUUUUUUUUUUCUAGGUGAUUUUUAAUAUAAUUACUUUUAGGUUGCAAAUCAUAUAUUUUUGUUAGUUACCAGAAUCAACUUAAUAGUAGUAGAAGAUUAAUAUCAUGCCAUGGAAUUUUAAUUAAGCUUCAGCACUAUUUAGAAUGGUUAACAACAUAUUUUAAGUAAUAUUAAUUAUAAGAAAAUAACUAGAUAUUAAUUUUUUGUAUGUUUUUUAUUUGCAGUGGAUAUUGCAUGAUUGGACUGACGAGGAAUGCAUAAAAAUAUUAAGGAAUUGUAAGAAAGCAAUACCAAGAGAGAAUGGAAAAGUGAUAAUUGUUGAAAUAAUUUUGAAAGAAGAUGGAAGUGGAGUGUUUGAUGAUAUUGGAUUUGUGAUGGACCUCGUAAUGUUUGCACAUACCAAUGGUAAGGAGAGAACAGAGGCGGAAUGGAAGAAAAUCUUGGAAGGCGGAGGUUUUUCUCACUACAAAAUCAUUAACAUCCCUGCAUUGGUUUCCAUCAUAGAGGCGUAUCCUGAUGCUCAGUAGCU